UCUGUUUCUUUCCUUUCAUGGCUCACGGCCACAUGAUACCGAUCUCCGACAUGGCCAAGCUCUUUGCAUCCCAAGGAGUAAAAACCACCAUAGUCACCACUCCUCUAAAUGCCCCAACAUUAUCCAAAGCCACCCAAUCAAGUAAAACCUGCUCCGGCGGCGUCGAAGUCAGAAUCAAAACCAUCAAGUUCCCUUCUGUAGAAGCCGGUCUGCCAGAAGGGUGCGAGCAUGUCGACUCACUCCCCUCACCAGAAUUCAGGACCAAUUUUUACAAAGCAACAAGCCUUCUCCAAGAACCUCUAGAGCAUCUUCUGCUCCACGAAAACCCUAGUUGCCUUGUGGCAGACUUUCUUUUUCAUUGGGCAACUGAUGCUGCUGCAAAGUUUGAUAUUCCAAGGCUAAUUUUUCAUGGCACUAGUUUCUUUGCCAUGGCUGCCUCAGAUAUUGUGACAAAGUAUGAGCCGUUCAAGAACACUUCGUUGGAUUCGGACCCUUUCAUGAUUCCGGAUUUUCCUGGUGAGAUUACGAUGACACGAGCCCAAGUUCCUGAUCAUGUCAAGGAAAAUAUCGAAAACGACUUGAUCCGGAUGGUCAAACGGGCCAAGGAAGCUGAGAAAACGAGCUAUGGAAUUGUUGUGAACAGUUUCUAUGAGCUCGAAUCGGCUUAUGCAGAUUAUUACAGAAACGUGCUUGGGAUGAAAGCUUGGCAUAUUGGCCCUGUUUCUCUAUGCAAUAGAAACAAUGAAGAAAAAGCACUUAGAGGAAAAGCAGCUUCCAUCAACGAGCACGAUUUCUUGAAGUGGCUUGAGUCAAAAGAACCUAAUUCGGUUGUUUAUGUAUGUUUUGGAAGCGUGGCUAAAUUCAAUGCCUCUCAGCUUAAGGAGAUUGCAAUGGGGCUUGAGGCUUCUGGGCAGGACUUCAUGUGGGUUGUGAGGACCGGACAAGGUUAUGACAUGGAGAAAGAGGAGUGGCUGCCAGAAGGGUUUGAGGAUCGGAUGGAAGGGAAAGGACUAAUCAUAAGAGGGUGGGCCCCGCAGGUUCUGAUUCUUGAUCAUGGGGCAGUUGGCGGGUUUGUGACUCACUGUGGGUGGAACUCGACGUUGGAAGGGAUCGCUUCCGGGUUGCCGAUGGUGACGUGGCCGGUGGCGGCCGAGCAGUUUUACAACGAGAAGCUGGUGACCCAAGUGCUGAAAAUUGGUGUCGGAGUUGGUGCUCAGAAAUGGGUUAGGGUUGUGGGGGAUAGCGUGAAGAAGGAAGCUGUUGAGAAAGCUGUCAGGAGGAUUAUGGUGGGUGUGGAAGCACAAGAAAUGAGAAGCAGAGCUAGGGAACUUGCAGAGCAGGCAAAGAGGGCUAUUGAGAAAGGGGGAUCGUCACACUCUGAUUUGAAUGCUUUAAUUGAAGAGUUGAGUUCCCACUAGUUAGAAUUGGAGCACACAUUCAGAUGGACUUCACUUUCGGAAUAUUUCUGAUUGAUAAUGUUUUGUACAAAAUCUAAGUAAGAAUAGUCACUCAUAAUUCAUGAACGAAUGAUUAAUGUUGAGGAUAGUGACUAAAAGUUUAUUUGUUUUUCUUUUGACCCAGAUUAGACUUUCACGAUGCAUUUUAUUUAUCUCUAAGGGUCAUAUAUUUGCCCAGCCAAAGAAAAUAAUUCUAAGGGUCCUAUACUCUUUUCUUUAACUCUCCUUUAUUGAUCACACAUAGCUAGAUAAAAUGAAAUAUGGAUCUGAUUACAUAACAAAAUCUUCUUUAUAAUAUAAUUUACAGGUAGUUCAACGUAAAAUCCUAAACAUGGCAUUGGUUGGAUUGCACAAGGGAGAACUUUAGAUCAUAAACUAGCAAUUGGGCAUGCUCGAUGCCGUGAGUUUUAUAACUAUGUUAAACAUGUAGAAUAUAUUAAAAUCCAUUUACAUCCAUAUCAAACUGUAUUUACAUCCUUAUGUUCAAUAAGGAACAAAAGAUAGGUGUCUGUAGAAUACAUUACGUAGCAAAAAACUUGGAGAUUAAGAUGUUCAUAUAGAUGUAAUACACAUAAAAGUAUCUUUGUUCCACAUGUCCCAACUUUUCACAUUGUUCCUCAGGACUUCACUCUUCUUUCUUCUUCUUUGCCAAAGAGAUGUUCUUCUUUUACCAUUUGAUUUAUUCAGCUAUUCCUUGUCCGUUAAAAUAUCGUGUGAAUAUAAUUGAAACCUCAUACAACAGAUAAAUAACUAGGAAAGAAAGAAACACAUGCAUGAAUAAAAAAAGUUUUAAACCAUACCUAAUAUAUAAUUAAGCUCAGAGCAAUGAAAACAAAAUAAACAAAAUAUAAAUUAAAGAAGAAAAUUGGGGGAGCUAGUUUUGGACAUACACCAACCCGCAUUCUUACACUCUUCUUCCUGUUUUCUCGAAAUCUUUCCAGACAUCAACGAGAGGAGUUUGUGCAAUGAAAACAGAAUUUCUAUAAUACUAAUUGCUUCCAUCCAAUAAGGCAGCAUUAACUUACAAUGCUUGAUCCUCAAGUGGAGCAUUGUUAAAAAAUUCAUGCACUCGAGCAUCUUUUGAGUUUGAUUACUACUACUUAAGCAUUCUAAAAAUUGGCCCUAAACCCCAAACCCCAAACUCUAUUUAGACUCAUGAUGAGCAAAUUCAAUAUAUACUAAAACUCAAAUUAUAUUAUAUAUAUACUAAAAGAGAAAAACGCUUGAAACACUGUUCAUUUUCCAAUGUUCUUCCAUUUUUGCCCUUUCCAUGUUUCUGUGGACACUGUUUAUUCUACUGUGUAAUUCCGCUUUUGCCCCUGCUUUAGUCUUUGGUCUUUUAUUCCAUUUCUAGAUUCUUCCUUCCCACAUCGUUUUAGCAUCUCGACCCGUCUUUUCUCUAGAUGCUUCCCCCAUAGUUUCAGACUCUCGACCCACCUUUUCUCUGUCUGGCUCCUGCUAUCCCCGUCUCCCUCCUCACCUCCUUUCCCAAUCUCCCAAUUUAUUUUCAAUUUACACUUAAAUCUCAUAUGAAUCUCCUUGGUCUCAAAGAUGUCCUCUCUGAACCCAAAAAAGCUUUAGCCUUCCGACGACUCUGGUUGCCAUAAUCAAUCUUGGUCGUUGGCCGACAACCAGACUACAACAUCGUUUUGACUCACUCCAGCAUCCGCAGAUUCCAGCUUCAAACCCUUUCCGACCUUUUUUGCCAAAAUCGUUCUCACCGAUUUGUCAUCAGUUAAGAUCCUGAAGUUUUUAUUUGGCAUCCCAGACCUCAUCUUUCUUGCCACUGUGCCUCAAAACUUUCAUAUCGGUACAUCAACUCAACUCUCAUUUUGAUAGAACCCCACUUCAACCUUUACUCAAAUGCAAGAUAUACUAACAAGAACACUAAUACAAUCAAAUAUUCAUUCACCCUUUGCAUUUGCACAUAUCUCAGCUUAUAUAGCUGGUUGCAGGCUAAAGAAAUCCAACUCUACAAUUGACACCUGGCUAACUAAGUGAUGCCACUUGGCAUCCUAACAUUACCCUUCCCUUAGAAAUCAACAUUGUCCUCAAGGUUUAGCUUUGAAAAUUCCAGUAGCAUUUUUUUUUAUUAUGAUUUGGCAAUGGAUCCAACUACUAUAGGUUGAUCUAGAGACAAUGAGCGACAUAAGCCAGUAGUAUAUAGCAGCAGCAUUCCUAUUAAUUUGCUGCAGCAAUAUGCUUCCACAAGUAGUACGAGGACUGAUAUGUUUUUCCCUUGUAAACGAGCAACAACAUAUGUACUGAACUAAUAAAACCAUAAGUCUGCUUCCACCAAAAGUUCACUGCUGAAAACAUUAACUCCACAUUACACCCUGUCCAAAAUUGAGCAAUGAUAUUGACCAUACAAUCAGAAUUUCCAGCAUGCAUAAGGAUACCCAAUGCAACUAUGCACACCACUACUCCAUACAUUUCAAUACCCACUUAAAGAGCCUAACUUGUACCUCUACUCUCAAAAUAUCCAGCAAGCAAAUAAUUCCAAGAAAUAUUUGGUUUAGUAAUUUCACACAAAUCUGGGUCCAAGAAAAACCUCAAGGUAUUAUGCUCAUUGCCACACCUAGAGUCCAGAUGCAUAAUGACACUACUCACAUGAACUGAGCACCUACAUAGAAAGUCCACCCGUACACCAACACUAUGAAUUUGUUUCCUUUCUUUCUCAGCAAACAAGGCACCAAUCACAGCAGUAAUCACAAAAUUAAAAACCAUGCUUGUAGUAUUAUUUGGAAAUUUGUGUAUUAAUACCAGCGGCCUUAUCGGUUGACAAGAAUCUGCCCUCUCAAUUGGCAACCCCCAAGUUUUGCGCAACACAAUAUUUCCCACAAUCUAAUUUGUUUUACCAAUUGAGAUGAGUAUGAAACGUAAAGCCUCAUCUACAAUCCAAGGUGGAAUUGCAAAUAUAGCUUCUACAAUGGGCAUCAAAGUAGUACUAGCUUCCCAAAUCAAAUUAGUUCUCCAGAGAGUUAACAAUAACAAACCCAAAACACUAGACCCAUCGUCCAGUUUUGGCAUGUGCAUUGCACGAGUGAAGGCAACAUCCAAUUUCCUAUGCUCAUCAUAUUUGCUACUAAGAUGGUAAAGAAUACCAUGGUCACUCAUUGUCAUCAUUCUUCUACCAGUUAAUAUACCACCCUCAAGUAAAUGACUAGUAUAUGGCAAACCAAAAGAUCCAUGAACAUUCCUUUCAAAUGUUAGUUUCUUCUGCCCGUAAAAGCUAUGAACCAGAUAAUCCUCCCUAACAUUUGGGAAUUUCUUCUUCCCUGCCCCGCUCAAUUGAAUAUUUGAACUAUAAAAUUCUCCACCUACUGUUGAUAUAUAACCCUUGAGCUAAUAUCUUGGAGCUAAAGUUACAAAUUUUGAUUUUCCUUUUAUGUGCUUUAUCUUGCUGAUGUAAUCUGAGCCAUUGGAUCAUAGUCCAAAUGGUCUCUUCUCUAGCAUAGGAUCUAAGUGAUAUAACAAGACAAGUGGCAUCAUCUCAUAGGAUGAUAGCAAUGUAUGGUUGAGAUUGUGUUGUGUAUUGGUGAGUGAAGGAUCUCCCUUCCUCUACAUACAUAACGGUUACAAAUGUAUUUUUGGAUAUAGAGUGAAAUCGAAGAGACACAUUCAAUCUUCUUCUCUCUCAUUUCUCUGUUUUGUUCUUCAACCUCCAACAUAGAGAUCUCCAUUGAAAAACACAUAAAACACAAACUCUAAUAUGGCUUCAGAGCCAGGUUCGGUUAUCUAAACUGGGCGUAAAUCUGUGAAAAGAAAACUGGAAUUGAUUCGAGCUGCAAUCUAGCUCAUAUGACGAUCGAGGUGGUGUGAUUUCUUGAAUCCGAUGUCUAACAUGGCAGGAUCAGGCACUGCUGAGCUUCGCACACCAGUUUUCAAUGGAGAAAAUUAUGAGUUCUGGAGCAUUCGAAUGAAAACCAUUUUGAAAUCUCAUGGGUUAUGGGAUCUCGUUGAAAAUGGGUUCGAUGCUUCAGAUCCAAAGAAGGAGAAGAAGAAGAUAGAAGAGAUCGAGGUCACGGAAGUGGAGAAGCCAACGUUAGCUGAAAUCCUGAUGAAGGAUGCUCGUGCACUUGGGUUGAUCCAAGGUGCUGUCUCAGACCAAAUUUUCCCCAGAAUUGUGAACGAAGAGACCUCAAAGGGUGCUUGGGACAUUCUGAAGCAAGAGUUCAGAGGAGAUAAGCAAGUAAGGAGCGUAAAAUUGCAAGGUUUGCGUCGAGAAUUUGAAUAUACUCGCAUGAAAGAUAGUGAAUCCUUAUCUGUAUAUCUCACUAGAUUGUUUGAUAUAAUGAAUCAAAUGAAGAGUUAUGGUGAGGAUCUGUCUAGAGAGAAAGUUGUGCAAAAAUUGUUGAUUAGUUUGCCUAGAUCAUAUGAUCCUAUUUGCUCCGUAAUUGAACAUUCUAAGGACCUUGAAACUCUUGAGAUUCAAGAGGUAGUUGCUUCUCUGAAAAGUUUUGAACUCAGAUUGGAUAGACAUGCUGAAAAUUCUACUGAACGAGCUUUUGCUAGUCUAAAUGUUGGAGGUAAAAACUCUAAGGGAAUAGGUUAUUCUGGAAAUCAAAAGUUUCAGAAAAACUGGAAAUUCAAAGGAAAGAAGUGGGAUAAUAAGCCAUAUUUUGUUCAAAGACCAAAUGUCUCUAAUGAUAGAAACAAGACAUCUUGUAGACACUGUGAUAAAUUGCAUUAUGGCAAAUGUUGGUUUGAAGGGAAGCCAAAAUGCACAGGUUGUGGGAAACUUGGGCAUGUGAUCAGAGACUGCCAUGGAAACAAAAAUAUACAGAAUGUGAACUAUGUAAACCAUGUUGAAGAAACUGGUACCCUGUUCUAUGCAUGCAAUGCUAUGACAGAUGUGAAGGUGAAUCAUUCAUGGUACAUUGAUAGUGGUUGUAGUAACCACAUGACAGGUGAUGAAAGGUUACUAAUCAACAUCCAAAGGAAUCUGACUUCCAGGGUGAAGAUGGGAACUGGAGAGAUUGUUCAGGUUGCAGGAAAGGGGACUCUUGUUAUAGAGACCAAAUUGGGAAGAAAGCACAUUCAAGAAGUGAUGCUUGUUCCUGGACUUGAAGAGAAUCUGCUAAGUGUUGGACAGAUGAUGGAGCACGGGUACUAUCUAUUGUUUGGAGGAAAUAUUGUGAGUAUCUUCGAUGGUUGGUCAAUGGAUAAUCUUGUGGUUAGAGUGCAGAUGACAAACAACAGGUGUUUUCCUCUUACAAUGAUGCCAGCAAAUCAGAUAGCCUUGAAAGCAAGUGUGACACACUGUAUGCAGAUAUGGCAUAAGCGUUUGGGGCAUCUAAAUAACAGAAGCAUCAAAAUGCUUGAAGAUCAAGAAAUGGUUCAUGGAUUGCCUCAUUUGGAGAAAACCUCUGUUUGUGUGUGAAGGCUGCAUGCUAGGAAAGCAACACAGAGAGUCUUUUCCAUCAAAAUCAGCUUGGAGAGCAAAAUUUCCUUUGGAAUUGGUUCACACAGAUAUCUGUGGACCAAUGCAAACUGAAUCUAUCUCUGGAAAUAAGUACUUUCUGUUGUUCACUGAUGAUUGUACUAGGAUGUCUUGGGUAUAUUUUCUCAUAAACAAGUCAAGUGCAUUUGAUUGUUUCAAGAAGUUUAAAGCAAUGACAGAGUUGCAGUGUGGAUAUAAGGUGAAAUGUCUAAGGAGUGAUCGGGGUGGAGAGUUCUUAUCAACUGAAUUUGAUAGUUACUGCAAUGAGCUUGGAAUUCAAAGGCAAUUAACCAUGGCAUAUUCUCCUCAACAGAAUGGAGUAGCUGAGAGGAAGAAUAGGACUGUGGUGGAAAUGGCAAAGUCUAUGAUGCAUGAAAAUGGUCUUUCUUAUGCAUUUUGGGCAGAGGUUGUGAACACUGCAGUCUACAUACUUAAUAGAUGUCCCUCAAAGUCCCUCAAGAAGAUAACUCCAUUUGAAGCAUACACUGGUAGAAAACCAGGCAUUGCACACUUGAAGAUCUUUGGGUCACUAUGCUAUGUGCACAUUCCCUCAACACUAAGGCAUAAGCUUGAAGAAAAUAGUCGCAAGUGUAUUUUUGUAGGCUAUGGAAUCUGUGAAAAAGGGUACAGAGUGUUUGAUCCAAGUUCUAAUAAGAUCAUCCUGUCUAGAGAUGUACACUUUGAUGAGAAUGCUUCAUGGGAGUGGGAGAACACUGAUAAGAGUGAAAUACAAGUUCCCAUGAUUAUUGAGAAUCAAAUGGCAGAUUGUAGUGAAGGACAGAAUCAAGUGGAAGUAUGUGAACCAAGACAAUUCUUGGAUACAUCAACUCAAGUGGAGGAUGUUGUUGCAUCACUGUGAGAAUGUUUUCGAAAGUUCUCAAACAACUGAUCACACACCACAGAAAUGGAAAAGUGUAAAUGAGAUCAUGGCUCAGUGUAACAUGUGCAUUGUAGAACCUGAAAACUAUGAAGAUGCUAUUCUAGAUGAGUCAUGGGAAAAUGCAAUGAAAUCUGAGCUUGAAAUGAUUGAGAAGAACAACACAUGGGAGCUAGUUGAUAGACCAUUUAACAAGCCAAUCAUUGGUGUUAAGUGGGUCUAUAAAACCAAGUUGAACCUUGAUGGAUCCGUGCAGAAAAACAAGGCCAGACUGGUGGCAAAAGGUUAUUCCCAAAAGCCUGGGAUAGACUACAAUGAAACAUUCGCCUCGGUUGCAAGAUUAGAUACUAUUAGGACCUUGAUAGCACUUGCUGCACAGAAGGAAUGGAAUCUAUAUCAGUUGGAUGUAAAAUCUGCUUUUCUGAAUGGAACUUUGAAGGAGGAGGUUUAUGUUGAGCAGCCACAAGGUUUUGUGAAGGAGAGUGAAGAAACCAAGGUGUAUAAGUUGAAUAAGGCUCUGUAUGGGUUGAAGCAAGCUCCGAGAGCUUGGUAUGAUGAGAUAGAUUCCUAUUUCGGCAAGGCAGGUUUCAAGAAGAGUUCUAGUGAAGCAACACUUUAUGUCAAAACUAGUGAAGCUACAGGUAUCAUUAUUGUUUCACUCUAUGUGGACGAUAUUGUAUAUACUGGAAGUUGUCCAAAACUACUCGAAGAGUUCAAAAAUGAGCAUUAUGAGAUGACUGAUCUGGGGUUACUUCAUCAUUUUCUUGGCAUGGGAGUAGUGCAAACAGAUAAAAACAUUUGUAUCCACCAGAGAAAAUAUGCAAUGAAGCUUAUUGAGAAAUUUGGGAUGAAAGAUUGCAAAUCAGUGACAACACCACUGGCUGUGAAUGAGAAGUUAUGCAAGACAGAUGGUAGUGAAGCAGCAAAUGAAAGUGAAUAUAGACAAGUUGUAGGUAGCUUGUUAUACUUGACUGCUACAAGGCCGGAUAUAAUGUUUGCUUCUAGUUUUCUUGCUAGAUUCAUGCAUAACCCUAUAAAGAAACACAUGGGAACAGCCAAAAGGGUGUUGAGAUAUAUUCAGGGCACUCUUGAUUUUGGAAUUGAAUUUGUAAAAGGGAAGACAACUACUCUGAUAGGGUACUGUGACAGUGACUGGGCAGGAAGUGAGGAUGACAUGAGAAGCACCUCAGGAUAUGCAUUUACACUUGGAUUCGGUAUGUUUUCAUGGGCAUCAAUCAAACAAAACACGGUGGCAUUGUCCACUGCAGAAGCAAAAUAUGUCAGUGCUGCAGAAGCAACAUCACAUGCUAAAUGGCUAAGGUUUGUGCUUGAAGAUUUUGGUGAGGAGCAAGUGGAAGGCACACCAAUUCUGUGCGACAACACUUCAGCCAUAGCAAUGGCAAAGAAUCCAGUUCUACACCAGAGAACUAGGCACAUCAUUAGGAAAUUUCAUUUUAUCAGGGAAGCUAUCCAAACAAAGGAGAUUGAACUUGUCUACUGCAAAACAGAAGACCAGACUGCAGAUAUAUUGACCAAGGCUCUGUCAAAAGAUCGAUUUGUCUACCUAAGAGAUCUACUUGGUGUGAAAUCAGCUAAAGGGUUAGAAGGGAGUGUUGAUAUAUAACCCUUGAGCUAAUAUCUUGGAGCUAAAGUUACAAAUUUUGAUUUUCCUUUUAUGUGCUUUAUCUUGCUGAUGUAAUCUGAGCCAUUGGAUCAUAGUCCAAGUGGUCUCUUCUCUAGCAUAGGAUCUAAGUGAUAUAACAAGACAAGUGGCAUCAUCUCAUAGGAUGAUAGCAAUGUAUGGUGAGUGAAGGAUCUCCCUUCCUCUACAUACAUAACGGUUACAAAUGUAUUUUUGGAUAUAGAGUGCAAUCGAAGAGACACAUUCAAUCUUCUUCUCUCUCAUUUCUCUGUUUUGUUCUUCAACCUCCAACAUAGAGAUCUCCAUUGAAAAACACAUAAAACACAAACUCUAAUACCUACAACCUCAAAUAUUCCAUCUCGGCUACAUUCAAUAGAAUCUCCAGAUGCAUUCAUACAAGAAAAAUGAAUAUUCAGAGUAACCAUAUACCUGAAUUUUGAGCCUCCACCCUUAUCUCGAAUACCCUUGCAAUAGCACAUGUCAAAAUUGACAACAACAAGAUGAUUUGAGUCAGGAAUUUCAUCAAACACGUUGAGAGCAAGACGAGUUUUCUCAGCAGGUACAAUAAAGGGGUUAGCUUCCUCCAAAAAAUUCCUCUUUUUCGCAUUAAGAACAAAACCCAACUCAUAAAUUGCCAGAAAAUCCAUUGAGUUGAAUUAAGAGAGACAAAUAGUUCCAUCUUUGUUAUAUGCAGUAGCAUUUUCAGAUUGUUUUGUACAAGAAGAUAUGAGGAUUGUACUAAUCUUGUACCUGAAUAUUCUCGAAUGGUCCUUCCAAAUCUUGUCUUUUGCCAAACCACCACCUUUAUCAUGAAUUCCUUUAUGGUAGUGGAAUUGAAGAAUAAGUACAACACCAGUAGAAGCAUCAUCUUGCACCAAAAUGGUAUCAACUUUUCCUCUAGUGUCAGAAAUCGGCAUAUGAUAGCCCAACUGAAAAUCACAAUCUAUUGAUUGUGACCUUCAUCAAACACCUGGAAUGUAGGUGAAUCAAUUUUCACGAACCUAUCAUCAGAAACAGGAAUUGUGAAAAUGAAAUCCUGGACCACGUCGUUCUUGCAACUAGAUUCACGAAUAGAUGAAGGCGCCAUCCCAAACUGAAUGAAUUUAUGUCCAAAAGAAGUAGCCAAGCCAUUACGAAAUGUAGAACCCAGAACAUAAGCUUGAACCUUGGAUUUCCUGCAAUUUGAAUCAAGAACUGGAGAAGCUAUUACAUAAUCUUCAACUUUCUUGUUGAAUAAAGAAACCAACUCCUUUGCGGUGCCUGCCUUGCGAUUAGAAUCAAGAAAUGGAGGAAUUUUCACAUAAUCUUUAGCUUCCCUGUCGAACAAAUUGAAAACCUCUUCGUCCUCCACAACCAAAGCUUUCCAAAAAAACCCACAACUUUCUUCAAAUUUGGAAUUGGAACAAAAUAUUGCAGAACCAUCGUCGUCGUGUUUGUCGUAGUCGCGAACUUUCUUGAAUCUCUUCAAUAUGGGUCGUAAACAAGGACGAGUCUUGGGCUUGUAACUUUGAUGAAAUUGAGAGAGUUGAUUCACUCUCUCUUUGGCAUGAAUUUUUUUCCUCAUGGAAGGAUUGAAGCUUGAGAACGACUUGGUUCGAUUUCUCAAAAGAGAUAGGAGAUGCCAUUUUGAUGAACAGCGGAUGUGAACCCCUAUCGCAUUUGGCCACAAAAUCAUGGUAUAGUUUCUCGAAUCGAGCAUCAGAAGAAUCUUGACGAGCUUCCAUGGCGUCAAAUCGCUAAAUUAGCACAUUGAGAGUGUCAUUAAUCGCAGCAAGAUGGUUAUGAAAUUCCAUGGCUUCCUUCGUUGACGCACGAUUCAAUCGGCAAAAGAGAAGGGAUUGAGGAAUCAAGACUGGCUUGAUACCAAUGAUAGAACCCCACUUCAACCUUUACUCAAAUGCAAGAUAUACUAACAAGAACACUAAUACAAUCAAAUAUUCAUUCACCCUUUGCAUCUGCACAUAUCUCAACUUAUAUAGCUAGUUGCAGGCUAAAAAAAUCCAACUCAAUAAUUGACACCUGACUAACUAAGUAAUGCCACUUGCAUCCUAACACAUUUAUUUCAACAGCUCAACUCUCUUUCUAUUUCAAACCUAAAGAUUGAUUAUUUUCCUUUUUUUUUCUCUGUUUUUAUUUUCCAGGGAAAAAACACCAUCUUUGCCGAAAAAGUUUGAAUUUUUCUCGGGAAUUCUCACCCAUCCCUGAGAUUUUCUUUGGGGGUUUUGGUUCUCGGGUUGCGAAUUUAAAAGGGUUUUGUCUUUAAAAGGAGAUGGAUAUCGGUGGUGAUGAUCGGUGUUCAUUGUUGUGUGGAUGAUCCCAGUGGAGCUUUGGUUUUCAGCUUUGGUGAUUUCUGCGUGAAUUUUUGGGGAUUUGGUUUGGGUUUCUGGGUAAGCAACUGUCACUCUAUUCAACUUAAAUUUAGUUCACUUUUUUUUUCCCCUUAAAUUUGUUUGAUGGCAUGAUUGUUUGAUCCUUUUACUAAAAUAGUCAUCAAUAAAUGUUGGAAUUUUUAGUAGUUUUGAUUUCUUUUCAAUUUUUAUUUUAUUUUAUUUUCAAGCCCUGAGUUUUGUAAGAACCGUCUACCCUGUGCAUACACUAGAUACUCCUAACAUUUCAAAUAAACUACCAGUGAGUUCUAUAACUUUACUAAUAUUUAUUUGCAACACAAGUUAAAUUGUUGGUUUUCUGUUUGUCAAUGCGUUAGCUUUUCUACUCUCUACCUUGCAUUAGAGGUUGCCAUAUCAGGUGAGUUCAAGUUCUACUUAGUACACAAGGUUGUUUUUAACAAAGUCUCUAAUUUGUGUGCUCUUCAUCAUGUCUUUUAUUUUGGUGGCAGUUAGGUGUCAUUAAUAUGAAGUGUGAGCUAGUUAAUGUAGAUGGCGUUUAUGAUUGAUUGCUGGUGGGGAAUAGUAUAGGGACAUGCUCCACAGAAGUAUAAUUGGAAUGGAUAAAAUAGGCUCUUUCAGAUAGUGUGUGAGCUUAGACUAAAGUGACAUGUCUGUUUUAUAUAAAUUCGUUUUUUCAAUUUGCAGAAGCUUUUCCCUCUCAUUGGGCAUAUAAACAACAUGUGUGGUUAAUUGUUUUGCCAUCUUUGUGGUCAUUUUUAUUCUUUCUAUGCAUGUUUUUGGUAGCAAUUUAACAACUGAUUGUAGAAACUUUUGUCUUUGUAUGUUGAUGCUUCUUAAUAGUGGUGGUGCUGUGCAUGUUCUUGGUUAAAUUAAUCGAGUACAUCCGUAAUUUGGAAUAGUUCUUUUCUAGAUUGGCAAGAAUUUUUCCAGUCAAGGAGAUUGUUGGAUACUUCUGCUAAUUGGAUCAAUGGAAGCGAUAACCAGUGAUUGGGGGUAUCUUUUGGCAGGAUUACAAGGACUUUGUUGCGGAUGGGAUUCAAACAGAACCUUUCAACUUGAACGAGGAAAGGGAAUGCAGAUGGAAAGUUUAUUAAAUAUGCCAUUAAAAAUGAAGUCAAGUUAAACAUGUUUAUCAUUUUUGGCAAUAAGCAUGUUCAUCAUUCAUGGGUAGUUAAUGCUAGAGUGUUUAUUGUACAAUUAGGUUCUUGGAGUUUACUGAUGAUUUGCUAUGCGUGUAGGUCAUAAAAUAUUUUUUAUACUGAAGCUUUCAUCUCUUUGAUUAAAAUCAGUUGAAUUAAGUAAUUCAGUCGAUUACUUAAUUCAUGAAAAGAGACAACCAAAAAACAACGUGGAGGUGGAGUCAAAUGCAAAAUCAUAGAAUCAGAAAUUAAGGUAAUCUUUAUACAUUUCGUUUGAUUUGUUUGAAUAGGAUGAUUUAUAACUGUUUCGGUAUUAUGUUUCUUCGUAUGCAAAUUACCAUAUGUAUUUGAGAGCACAGCUGAUGUAAGUUCUCUCUUUAUGCCUCUAUCUCUCUGUGCAUCGAUCUGUUUUCUAUCAAUUUUAUUGUUUUGUAUGCAUUAUGUUUAUCCUGAACCAAAGUUUCCUAAUCUUUUAUUUAUGAGUGUGUGCUGCUCGGUCUCCAAUGAUUAUUUAUAUUUCCGAGGGUAUAAUGGGAGUAAAAAUCCAUUCAACCUCCACCAAAUUGUUGGGAAUCCAAUUCAGAUGCUUAAGUGAUUUUUUUAAGGUUUGAAAUCGAAAAGUAGAGUGCAAAUUUCGUUCGUGAUGAAAAACCUACAGGAACAUUAGUUCUUAGCAUAUGUGAAACAUGUGUGAAUUUUAAUCACAAAGUGCAGUUGUACUCGAGACUGAGAGAGUGGCAUUUAAUUGUUCUCCUAUGGGAUGUGGUUGAUCUUACCCUUUAUAUGUUUAAUUUUAUAUAUACUUAGUUGAGUUAUUUUUUCCUUUUGGGAUUCAGGCCCAGACACUAUUGAUCCCUCAAAUUUUUCGCCAUGCAGCAAAAGGUGGUGACUCACGCAAAUAGCUGACUCCUUUUCAAUAGAAAGCAAUAGCCAAACUAAACCAGCUGGGAAAUAACGUUCACCAAUCACUGUCUUGGCACAUUUACUUAAGUGAGUACAUUGUUAUUCAUUCUGGCCGUCUUUCCAAGAUCAAGCCCCUUGCUCAAUUGGAUAAAGUUUGCAUCCUCAGUUGUGCCGUAUCGACAGGUUUGGAUUUUUGGGUGCCCCUCUCAUGUAGCAAAACAAAAAAUUAUCUUCAGUUGCUGUUAUUGGCCUUGCAGUAAGUUUGGACAAACUUUGUUGAUCCCAAAUUCUUUGUUCUAAUAAAUUGCAUUUAUUUUCUCUUCCGUAUUCAUAUUGAUACAUGCAUGAUCUUGGCUAUUGAAGGUGCAAGAUUUCUGGGGCGCCACUAAGUAUUGGGGUGGAGUCGGUGGACUUGAAUCCCAAGAGGUUUGACAAAGGUAUUUAUAAUUUUUUCCCAUUUUGAUUUACCAUGGUUUAACAGUAGUUUAGUGGGAAACCUAGAAAUAGAUUUUUGCUUAUAACAUUCUUUCCUUGGUGAUAACUAAGAAAUUCAGAGUAAAUGGAUUUGUGAAUUCGAAUGACAAUGACAAACCAGUGCAUGAGAUGAAAAUGAUUCGCUGUUCUUAUUAUCUGUGGGACAUGAAGUUCGUCUCAAAUUGUAGCUUCCUCGGUUUCUCAAAUCUCAACGAUCAAUUUGCAGUGUCCCUCAAGCGGUUUCUCUCAAACUCUUACGAUUUGCAUUUUGCUUCUCUCCCUACACUCUCAUCAGCACUAUCACUGCUCUCUCAAAUGAGCACUACAAGUUUAAGCCUAAUGCUGGUAUGUGAUUUCCACUCCAUCUCUUCCUUUUUUUUUUUUUUUUAAGGGUAAUUUUCAACCCUUUUGUACAAUCAGGUAAUUCUCCAUAUAAUUGAAUAAUACUGUUUUUUUUUCUCUCUCUCUCUCUCUCUCUUUUUUAGCUCCAUCAGUUCAUUUCCCUUGACAUCUGACUUAAGUAAAUGGGAAAUCAUUAAUUGGUAUGGAUCAAGAUAUAUUUCUUUUGUGUUUUUGGACAAUUUAAAGGGAUAUGCAAAUAGAUGGGAACAGUAGAAUUCAUUUUGAUAAAAAAAAGAAGAGAAAAUAACCUUGCUGGUUUAUACUUCUUGGUUGUUUGAUGAAGUUUGCACUGAGUUACAUAGAUUGACAAAUUUAGAUUUUUAUAUUGAAUUUUUACUGAUUCUUAUUCGUAAUAUAUAGCAAGAGAUAUCUUGGGCAAAGCAAAAAGAAUAUGCACCAAUUCAACAACACGAUGACCACGAAAAAAGAUGGUCAUUCCCAAACAAGCCAGACCAGAGAUUGAACAAGAAAAAUCAUAAACACAGAGCAGAUGGUUGUGAAUCCUUUGAUUGGUAAGAAAUUGUGUGUUGUUCAUGUGCAUUCUUCAUUGUUUGCACUUUCAAUUUAAGAGGAUGCAAUACAUUUUCAACGUUACCAUAUCGUUUCAGAUAAUCAAGGGAGGAUUUCCAUGAUGUGUUAUUAGGGUAGUUCAAGUGCAACAAUUUUGUGCCAGACAUUAGUUUGAAACAUUGAUAUUUUUCAGUUCGUUGACUGCCUUCACAUAUCUCUUCCAUUUUAAAUGAUUGAGAGCUUAAUAUAUUUGUGUUUAUACAAAAAUAAAAAAAUGGUUAUAAUUGGAAUAUUGCGCUUAAUCUUCUUUUGGUAUUUGUUUGAUUUUCUUUUGUUGGCUGUGUUUUGUAGCUCAUCAGAAACAGUAAGUAAAAGCUAUAACCAAAGGCUUAUGUAUUUUUUUCAAAUGGUUUUCAUCUAUUGUAGGUAAACGGGAGCUACUGUGCUCUUUAUGCAGUAAGGUUUACCAUCAGCUCUAGAUAUGAGCAUCAUGGCAAAGUUGAAGUAUGUGUAAAUGGCAAGAGUUUAGGCCUGAACUGGAAGUUGUGGCGAGUGUAACUAUAUUGGGACAUGUAAUGAGAAGAAAUGUUUAAGUAGCUGUGGGGAGGUAAUAAACAUGUUUACUUCUGGCCUAUGCUUACUUUAAGGUAAUUGCCAAACCGGUUAAUUACACACGAAGCUAAAAACUUUUGGCCAACUAACCUUAUCUUAAUGCUUUAAUACACUACUUUGUUUCCAAUCCUGCUUAAAAUUGAAGAAUGACUAUUCUUGCAGAGUUGUGUUGGACAAAACAACUAUCCUCGGGGUAGCUGUAGCACCUGAGAAUUUUGAAGGUGAUCUGAUCGGAGGCCAUUUGCAACUAAUGAUUCUCAAUUUCUCGAGUACACCAGUAAAGGUCCUCUAUCUUCAUUUCUCAUUGACAUUUUUUCUCCUUGAUAACAUAGUUCACAAGGCUUUUAGCCUGUUAUUAUGAUUACUGUUAAACAAUUAUUCUUAGAGAGAGAGAGAGAGAGAGAGACGGAUAUACCAACUGGUGCAUUUUGAAGGAGUACUAGAACAUCAUUAUUGAAAUUAGAUGACAGUGUUGGGUUCAUGGAUUUUGGAUUCGGCAUUCUCUGAAAUUAGCCAAGGAGUGGAAAUUUUGAUUGGUUUGAUUGGUAAUUUGGUAUGUUCUUUAAAUUCUAUAAUUAUGAGAGAAACAGAAAUUAUCGUAUUAUAUAUUUUAUCAGCAUUUAACAUUGGUGAUUGUGAACUAUCUUUGUAUGUUUAUCAAUUUAUUCUUUAUGAUUUUUAGUUUCCUAAAUGAAGUUUGACAUGUAUGAAAUUUGACAAUUGAUCUUCUUUUGCAUUCUUGCAUUUGAACUGCAAGUUAGUUUAUGCUAAAUGUUGUUUAAUAAUUUAGAGAAAAGGUUUCAAUUGGUUGUCAUGCAAUGCAGCUGCAAAUUUGAUGAUUUAGAAUUAGCUUAUCCAUCUUCCAUACGAUUUCUAAUCCCGCAGCAACGCGCGAGCAGUAAUUUCUAGUAUAACUGAAACAUUGUUCAUAAGUAGUGUGUUUCUUUUUUUGCCCCUGUUAGGUUUUUGUUAUUACAGGUAUGCCAUUGUCUUACAAACUAUAUAUGUUGAUUCUUUUUUGUAUUUUUUCUUUCUUCUCUCUCUCACUCCUCUUCGUGACUCUGCUAGCGACGACAGCGAGUUGUUGUCGUCCGAACGUCAGUGAGUCGGACCUCAUCGUUACGGCUAGUCUCAUCUCAGGAACAAGAAACAGUUGUUGCAUGCCUCAAAUUGUUACUGUUUCGAUGAGGGUUUUCGAACUUAACCCCAAUUGUAUUUCGAUCUCUCUCUUUCUGCAUUUUCGAUAGGUUACUAUUUUUCACGUUCUAUUGAUUAUGAAUUCUGAUGUUUUGCGUUCAAUUUGGGUUUUUGGAAUUUUGGAAUUUUGAAUUUGUACCUUAUUUUCCAAAAUUAUUCCCUAAUUUCACAUUUUUCAUUUUGUACAGCCGUGGGUGAGACACAUAAUUCUACAACCUCUUCAAGGUGUACACGCAGCUAGGAAAAUUUCAGCGAGAAAAAUCCCCAAAAACUCCUCCUCCUGGUCUGUCAUUGAUAUCUCAGCUCUAUCUCUCUCAAUCUUGAGGUACCUGAUGUUGGCUUCCGUUUUCAGUCUGAAAUAUAUAAUGAUUUAUUUGAGUUUGCUGGGAUUUAUUCAAUUCAACCGGGGUGGGUUUUUCAGUUGUUUGGAUUUUUUUUUAUUAAUUUAGGUUUCUGGGUUUUUUUUUGUUGGUAUGGUUCAUACGGAAUGAAAAAUUUAUGCGUUCUUUUGAUUUCGAGGCAUGCAUCAAGCGUCCAUCUUUUUUUUUAUUUUUUUUAUGAAAUCAUGUUCAGUGAACUUAUUUUCUAGGGGAUUGAAUUACCCAGAUUACCCAUAUAUAUAUAUAUAUAUUAGCCAGUCCUUAUGACCCAUAUUCAUCAAUGCCAUCACCUUCAACCCCAAAAACACCUAGCUUUGCUAAAUCAUCCCCUUAUGUCAAGAAACAUCCUAUGAAACAACUUUUUUCUAUCCCUCAUAAUAUCAAUAAACGGCAAUCGCCAAACAAAAUAGUAAACGACUAAAAUAUUUAACAACCUUGGAAAGGUUUAAUAAGUCUAAGAAAGAAAUCACGGUUAAAGAUCUUCAAGUUAAAGUGAAUAAAAUAAAAGAUGAAAUUAAAUUUUUAAAAUCAGAAAAUAUAGAAGUUCGUACUCAUCUUAGUGAAAUCCAAACCCAUUCAUUAAUAAAUCCCCAAAAAGAAGAACUUGCUAGUUCUUCCUCCAGUUCUGAGUCAGGAUCUCAAUCAACUGAGAACCUAGUUUUAAGUCUUUUACAUAAGAUAAGAAUUCAGAAAUGGUAUUCUAAAAUUACAAUAGUAAUAGAAGAUUUUCAUUUGGAAACAAUUGUUUUGAUUGAUUCCGGCGCAGAUUUGAAUUGUAUUCAAGAAGGGUUAAUACCUACUAAAUAUUUUCAUAAAUCAACUGAAAUACUUAGUGCUGCUAAUCAAUCUCCUAUGCAUUUGAAAUACGAAAUACCUAAAGCGCAUGUUUGCCAAAAUAAUGUUUGUUUUAAAACCCCAUUUGUUUUGAUCAAAUAUUUCUGAUUCAAUUAUAUUAGGACUUCCAUUUUUAGCACUUAUAUAUCCUUUUAAAGUUUAUCAUAAUAAAAUUACCACUAGAGUCUUAGGACAGAAGGUCACAUUUGAGUUCUGCCUGGAAACAGACCUUAAAAAACUAAGACAUUUACAGAAAAACAAUAUUUCAAAAACUAUUAGUAUUAUUACUAAUAAGUCACAACAUAUUAAUUUCUUAAAAGAAGAAAUUAAUCACAAAAGAAUUAAAGAACAGCUAACAAAUAAGUCUUUGUUAGAAACUAUUAAUAAUUUUCAAAAGAAACUUAUUAAUGAAGUAUGUUCUGAUAUCCCCAAUGCUUUUUGGCACCGAAAACAACAUAUUGUUAAACUUCCUUAUAUGAAGGAAUUUAGUGAGUCUAAAAUACCUACUAAGGCUAAACCAAUACAAAUGAGUCAAGAAGUCAUGGAAUUCUGCAAAACAGAAAUCCAAGAACUUCUUAAUAAAGGUAUCAUUAGGAAAAGUAAGUCACCAUGGUCAUGCCCUGCAUUUUAUGUUCAGAAAAAUGCAGAAUUAGAAAGAUGAACUCCCAGAUUAGUUAUUAAUUACAAACCUUUGAAUGAAGUCUUGGAAUGGAUUAGGUAUCCAAUCCCCAACAAAAGAGAUUUAAUCAAAAGGCUUUCUCAAGCAGUUAUUUUUUCAAAAUUUGAUAUGAAAUCAGGCUUUUAUAAAUGAAUCUGAUAAAUACAAAACAGCUUUUGUAACUCCUUUUGGACACUAUGAAUGGAAUGUAAUGCCUUUCGGCUUGAAAAAUGCACCAAGUAAAUUUCAAAAUAUUAUGAAUGAAAUUUUUAAUCAGUAUAGUCAUUUUUUGAUUGUUUACAUUGAUGAUGUGCUUAUUUAUUCAAAGUCUAUAGAUGAACACUGGAAACAUUUGCAUUUGUUUGCUAGAAUAAUUAAGUCCAAUGGAUUAGUUGUUUCUGCUGUUGGAACCUUAUUGGACUCUAAACUUAUCUCAUUCGGGUUUUGUGUUUAGUGAAAACUGAGAACAGUUAGAGUUAAUAGGUAAACAAACUUCUUUCCUUUAAAGUAGGACAUUAAGGGUUAAACGUGUUGGUGAGUGGAUAUCCCACGUUGGAAUGUAAAUGAGCGUGCAGUUUUGCCAAGCAGUUUCUGUGAUAGGUGGAAACGGUUGUGGUUACACGUUUAUAAAAGGACAAGUCCCUGCUCAAGAGGAACACGUUCAUAUAUCAGAAAAUCUAGCCCUAUUCUAGAAAGAACAUCAGGUCCUCCUUGAGUAGAAGAUUUCCUUUUCUUCCCUGCGAUCAAUGGCUUCACAAGGUCAGAACUACAAUCACAGUAUUUGAUGCAUGUUCGUAAUCUAUGUUUGCGGCUAUAUUAAAACUCCAACAUUUGGUAUCAGAGCGUAUAAUAGCUCUUCAUAGAUUCUUUUAUGCGUAUAAGGAAGUUUGCUUAAUUGAUUUAUUAGUCUUUUCGCGUUUUCCUGAUGAUUUGGUUUCUUGAGUAUCACAAGUACAGGAAUGGAUCUUGCGCUAAGAUGAUUUAAGUUCCAACCUUAACAUCAUUGAAGGAUACAUGCUGAUAAAACCAUUUAAAACAAAUGUUUGUAAAGCUUUACCAAAGUGAAGUUUUUUUUUUUUUAAGAAAUUUUGUUUAUAAGGACGGUGGCAUGGUUGUGUUUUUAUAAGUCAUGACAUGAUAACGUACUACUCCAAAGAGAAGAGGGUUAACUGGUUGGAUUUGUGAAUCAGUACAUAGGUUUUUAAUGAAUGUUUGAGCCAACUAUUUUCUUAUCCAAAGAUUUGAAAUAUGUGUUGUAACUUAAGUAUUUGUUAAAAGGGCUAUGUAAUCAGGAUGCAUAUGGUUUUAUGUGUAUAAAAAAAAAAAAAAAAACUGCAGCAAUGUAUCUUGCCCAAAGGUGUUGCAUAUACUGUGAUAGUUGUAACAUUGUCUACAAUGUUGUUUAACUUUUAUUUGGUUUGACAGUGAAUGCGAAUGCACUGAGCUUUUCCUCCAUUGAACCACUUAACGGAGGGAAUUUCAAAAAGUGGAGACAGGAUGUAGAGAUCGUGCUUGGCUUGAUGGACUAUGACCUUGCACUGAGGGAGGAUGAACCACCUGCUGUGACAGCGAACAGCACUACAGAGCAAAGAUUGAAGUCUGAGAAAUGGGAGAAGUCAAACCGAAUGGCUCUCAUGGUCAUGAAAAGGUCCAUCAGUGAGGCUGUGAGAGGUGGCAUACCAUCCUGUGACAAAGCUAAAGCUUUUCUUGAAGCUGUUGGAGCAAAAUUCAAGAUGUCCGAGAAAGGAGAGAUGGCGAACCUGAUGACCACACUGACUUCUCAGAAGUUCGAUGGCAAAACGAGUGUCCGGGAGCAUAUACUGAAAAUGGUGGAGGCUGCCGCCAAGCUCAAGGAUCUGGAGGUACCAAUUGAUGAUUCCUUUGUUGUUCACAUGGCUCUCUCAUCCCUUCCUGAGUCAUUUGAACAGCUUAAGGUGUCAUACAAUACUCAAAAGGAGAAAUGGAGUCUGGAUGAGAUGAUUUCUAUCUGUGCACAAGAGGAGAGCAGGCUGAAUCGUGCAAAAGGUGCAGUGGUGAACCUUGUUGACUAUAAUGCAAGUAAGAAUCCUAUGGUAAAUGCUGGUAAGCAGACUAAGCCUUUUAAUUCCUCCACUACUACUGCCAAUGUUGCUUCUUCCUCUAGAGGACCUCAAAACUUUAGGCCAAAUUUGGAGAAUGUGAAAUGCUAUUUUUGCAAACAAUAUGGACACUUGAAAAGGGACUGCGAGAAACGUAAAAAAUGGGCAGUGAAGAAAGGAAAAGGUACAAAUAUUUUCAAUGUUUUUGUUUGUUUUCAAACUUUACUUGUUGAAGCCCCUCCAAAUACUUGGUGGUUUGACACUGGUUGUUCGGUGCAUAUUACCAAUUCCUUGCAGGGAUUUUCAAGAAAAAUGUCAACAAGUAAUGAAGUCUUUGAAGUGCAUGUGGGCAAUGGGAAUAAAGUGGCUGUGGAAGCAAUAGGCAACCUCAAGCUCAAGUUGUCGUCAAGCUUUAUUUUAGAACUUUCAAAUGUACUUUAUGUUCCUACUUUAACUAGGUCUUUAAUUUCUGCUUCAAGACUUGUAAAAGACGGUUUUGCUUUCGUUGGUGAUGAUGAAAGCAUAAGGAUCUUUAUGAAAAAUAAUUUGAGUCAAUUGCUGGGCGUUUGCUUUUUAGACAAUGAUUUAUGGAAAUUAGAUUGUGUUGUCAUGAAUGAUUUGAGUUGUUACACUCUAGACUCUUCUGUUCGAAUGAAAAGGCCCUUAUCAAAUGAUCUUUCUUCCAUGCUUUGGCAUAGAAGGUUAGGUCAUAUUUCAAAGAAAAGACUGCAGCGUUUGGUGCAUGAAAAUAUUUUGCCAGCCUUGGAUUUUAAUGACUUGCAUGAGUGUGUGUGGAUUGUUACAAAGGCAAGUUAACUAAAACCAAGAAAAAGGACGCAACAAGAAGUCAAAAACUGUUAGAAAUAAUUCAUUCGGAUGUUUGUGGUCCUUUUCCAGUUAAAACAAUCUGUGGAAAUAUUUAUUUUGUGACUUUCAUUGAUGAUUUUUCAAGGUAUGGAAGUGUCUUUCUAAUUUCAGAAAAAUCACAAGUCCCAAAUUGUUUUAAAAUUUUUAAAACAGAAGUAGAGAACCAAUUAAACACUACAAUUAAGGUUUUGAGAUCGGAUAGAGGAGGAGAAUACUUUGGCAGGUUCACCGAGGCUGGGCAACAAAAGGGACCGCUGGCUAUGUAUCUAGAAGAGUGUGGCAUCCAAGCUCAGUACACCACACCUGGGACGCCUGAUCAAAACGGUGUGGCGGAGAGGAGGAAUAGGACAUUGAUAGAGAUGACAAGAAGCAUGAUGAGCAGGUCAGUUCUACCUCAGUUUCUUUGGGGAGAAGCAUUAAAGAUGGCAAACUAUAUAGUGAAUCGUGUCCCUAGCAAAUCAGUGAGUAAGACACCCUUUGAACUUUGGACUUCGAGGAAACCUAGCAUCAAUCAUCUACAUGUUUGGGGUUGUAGGGCAGAAGCAAGAAUGUAUAAUCCACAUGAAAAGAAACUUGAUUCAAGAACAGUGAGUUGUCACUUUAUUGGCUUUCCUGAGAGGUCUAAAGGAUACAAGUUUUAUGCUUCACACUUGCAGACUAGGGUUUUUGAGACUAACAAUGCAAAAGUUCAUCGAGGAAGAAGUAAAUGGUGAUGAAAAUGCAAGCAGUUUUGUUUUUCAGGAUCUUGGGAAUCCCACUGAUGUGUCGAGCAAUAAUGAUGAAGGGAGUCAAAGCCUUGGAGAAACUAUAGUUUUUGAAACUAGUUUCUCGCAGCCAUCACGUGAAAAUAAUGCUGCAGAGGGUUAUCAAAUAGAUGAACCACAACAAGAUGGACCAAUAGUUGAACCUAAUGCUAAUGAGUUACUAAUUGCCUUGGAAGCACCAAGAAGAGCCUCACAAAGAAUUCGCAGAUCGGCUAUUCCAGAAGAUUAUAUCACUUACUUUUGUGAAGUUGAGCAUGAUGAAGGUAUAAUGACUGAUCCAGCAACUUUCAUGCAUGCAAUUAAAAGUGAAAACUCUUUAUCAUGGCAGCGAGCAAUGGAAGAGGAGAUAAGGUCUAUGCAUUCUAAUCAGGUGUGGACCCUCGUAGAGAAGACAGAAUCUAUGAUACCCAUUGGAUGCAAAUGGGUGUACAAAACUAAGAGAGAUUCGAAAGGGAAGGUUGAAAGGUUCAAAGCGAGAUUGGUGGCUAAAGGCUUCACUCAAAGGGAAGGGGUAGACUAUAAUGAAACAUUUUCUCCCGUGUCGUCCAAGGAUUCCUUGCGGAUAAUCUUAGCACUCGUGGCACACUUUGACUUGGAACUACACCAAAUGGACGUCAAAACGGCAUUUCCAAAAAUGACUUGGAGAGGAAAACCAUGUUGAACAAACCCUAUGCUUCAUUGGUAGGAAGCUUGAUGUAUGCUCAGGUUUGUACAAGACCUGACUUAGCUUACUCAAUUAGUGUACUUGGGAGGUAUCAAUCAAAUCCUGGAGAACAACAUUGGGUGGCAGCUAAGAAGGUAAUGAGAUAUUUGCAAAGAACAAAAUCACACAUGCUUGUGUAUGGAAAGAGUGAAAACCUAGAGGUGGUAGGGUACUCUGAUUCGGAUUUUGCAGGCUGCACAGAUGACAGAAGGUCCACAAGUGGUUAUCUGUUCUUCAUAGCUGGAGGAGCAAUCUCGUGGAGAAGUGCAAAACAGAAGACGCUUGCGACAUCGACCAUGCAAGCUGAAUAUAUUGCUGUUUUUGAAGCCAAACAGAAAGCACUGUGGAUCAAGGAUUUAGUCAGUCUAAUGGGAAUCGUGGACAGUAUUUCAAGACCAAUUGUUAUACACUGCGAUAACAAAGCUGCUGUAUUCAUCUCUAAGAACAACAAGCAGUCUUCUGCAAAUAGACUGAUGGACAUCAAAUAUCGAUCUGUCAGAGAGGAUGUCAAAAGUGGUUUGGUGGUAAUUGAGCAUAUUGACACUGGUUUGAUGAUAGCAGAUCCCCUCACCAAACCAUUACCAGUUGCAGUGUUCAAGCAGCAUGUUGCAAAAAUGGGGGUACUGGAGUCUUUUGAUUCCGUGACUAAGUGGGAGUAAAACUUAGUCUUGUCUUAUUUGCUUUGAAGUUGUUUAUUGCAAUAGAUGAAUUCUAAAUUUAUUUCAUGUACUGCUUUUGAUUUGAGCUGGUAAUCAUUAAUGAGACUUGGCUGAAAAGCUAUGAUCAUAUAAGUGAUAUUUCUGCAUUAAAGCUUGAUUGUUUUAAAAGCUUUUCAGGUGGCUAUUUGAUCCUACUUUUCAGCAUGCAGAAAAGUUGAAGUUGGAUUAUUGCUAACUAAGGCAACGUUAAGGUAAUGGGAAAAAUAGUGGGAGCAUACAGUAAAGCUCUCUUAUAGCUAACAUGUUUAAGCAUCAUACGUGAAUAAUUGAAUGUUAUAGUGAUUUCAGAGUGGCUGCACCAUUUUGUGCAAACUUUUCUGAAGUUCUAUGACUUGAGUCAUUCAUGGUGGAUGUGUGAGGAUGUGUUUAUUUAUUUAUUAACUCAUGUGAUCACUAAGGAACUGUUGUCAGUAGAAACAUUGCUCAAAACAAAGACGAUGAGUUUAGGUCCAAGUGGGAGAAUGUUGGAACCUUAUUGGACUCUAAACUUAUCUCAUUCGGGUUUUGUGUUUAGUGAAAACUGAGAACAGUUAGAGUUAAUAGGUAAACAAACUUCUUUCCUUUAAAGUAGGACAUUAAGGGUUAAACGUGUUGGUGAGUGGAUAUCCCACGUUGGAAUGUAAAUGAGCGUGCAGUUUUGCCAAGCAGUUUCUGUGAUAGGUGGAAACGGUUGUGGUUACACGUAUAAAAGGACAAGUCCCUGCUCAAGAGGAACACGUUCAUAUAUCAGAAAAUCUAGCCCUAUUCUAGAAAGAACAUCAGGUCCUCCUUGAGUAGAAGAUUUCCUUUUCUUCCCUGCGAUCAAUGGCUUCACAAGGUCAGAACUACAAUCACAGUAUUUGAUGCAUGUUCGUAAUCUAUGUUUGCGGCUAUAUUAAAACUCCAACAUCUGCCUCUAAGAUUAAACUGUUUCAAACGAAUGUUAGAUUUUUAGGGUACAAUAUCCACCAAUCUACCAUUCAACCCAUAGAUAGAGUUAUCCAAUUUGCAGAUAAAUUCCCAGAUCAGAUUACUGACAAAACCCAACUCCAAAGAUUCCUUGGAUCAUUAAAUUAUGUCUGCAAAACAUGUUUUACAAAAAGAUGUUCAAAACAUUGCAUCAAAACAGAUUUUUGCACGAUGGCAAGCCAUAUUAAGCAUUUUUUUAUUUUGAUAUCGAGUACAUUAAAGGCAGCCAUAACUGCAUUCCAGAUUUUUUAACCAGAGAAUUUUUGCAGGGAAAGAAUGUCAGGAAAGAACAACAAUAGUAGCCAGAGGAGGCUUCCAGCCACUCUGCCAUCUCCACCACCAAAAAAGGAAUCUAUUCCCAAUUCCUCAUCAUCGGCCCUAGCCAUACCAAACAGAUUUGUUCCCUUAGGAUCUCCAUUAGGAUCAACCGUUGGCCAAUUCCGACCAAACUACCAAACGGCAUUAGCCAGUCCUUAUGACCCAUAUUCAUCAAUGCCAUCACCUUCAACCCCAAAAACACCUAGCUUUGCUAAAUCAUCCCCUUAUGUCAAGAAACAUCCUAUGGAACAACUUUUUUCUAUCCCUCAUCAUAUCAAUAAACGGCAAUCGCUAGACAAAAUAGUGGUAAUUGCAUUAGCAUCUUUAUAAUCUUCAUUAUAAUUCUCACCUUCAAGCUAUAUAUAUAUAUAUAUAUAUAUAUACUGUUUGAGAAGGCAAUUAAAAUUUUACUCAUUUCUAGAAUAUGACAAAAAACAGAUUGUAUUAUUUUGUUUUAUAAGAAAGUAUAUUACCAUCAUUAUGUCAUUGGCUAUUCUUUGGAAAAUUUGUUUGCAAGUUCUUGAGGUUAGCAAUUGUAAUUAAGAUAACGAAAAGAUUUGGACUGUCAAAUACCUAACAAUUCAAAGAAAUAUACUAUAAACCCAACAACAUUCUUAUGUUCUAUUUAACAGGUUAUUGAAUGACACCAUAUUUCAAAAAUAUUUUAAAAUGAGUUGAGGUAAUGGAUGCCUUGAAAAUAAUUAGACCCUUGAGAUUUUCUUUUUAAUGUUUAGUCCGGUUCAUCUCUUCUUUUUCUGUAUGAAGGGAUACAACAUUUGUGGCUACUUGAGAGCUUAAAAUAAGCCUAGGAGAGCUUUUAUGUUAGAUCUCUAGUUAUGAUUGUAAUGAAAAAGUUUGUUAUAUGAUUGUGUCUCAAUUGACUUAGUGCCAUUGAAAAGGGAUCAACUUUUUAUCAUUGUUUUAAGUAUGCUAUAGACUGGCAAAUAGAACUUUGUUCUACGUCGCUUUAGAAACAUAUAUAUACAUGUAAUCACUUGAUUCACCUAUAUUAUGAGGUAUUUGAUAUGGAGCAGACACAAUCAUAUGACAUUGUUGUACAAUUCUUAAGAAUGUCUAAAACUGAAGAAUUUAUAUGAUUUGUAUAUAUAUGAAAACUUGGUUUUGAUAGGAACCAAAAGUUUGGCCAUAAUAAUUUGUCGUUACAAUAAGAUUAAUCAUUCAAUGGGGUUGUGUUUAAUUUUUUUGGAGUAUAAAUUAAAGGGUUGAGCUUGAUGGCUUUACCCUUUUCUUUUUUGUCUUUUCUAUGCUUUGCUUUCUCUAAUUUUUAAAUUUAUUUUUUUGCUAAUUAGUGUGAGAAAAUGGCUUCAAAAUUGGAAUUUCCAAUAUCUGGAAAAAGGAAAACAGGAAGAGAACACCAAUAGUGGUGACGAUGGAGAAUCCCUUCUUUGCGGUGGAGACGGUCUCUGUGCAACAUUCAGCCCAGUUUAUAAGAGCAGGGAUCAAAAUGAAGAACCAAUGACAUGGGGAUUUGUUUAAUUUUAUCAAGUUUUGUACUGAGGUAAAACUCCCCCCAUUUAACAUAGUUUUAAAUGCUGCAUGUGUGUAAAUAAGAUUGUGAGUAUGGUUGUAUAUAUGUAGUAGUAAAAUUAGAAACAUUGUUGUAAUUAUGUGUAACUAGAGUUGUAAACCCACGGCAUCGUGUGAGUUUUUUUGCUUGUAGGAUAUGGUUUGGCAGUUCUACUGCCAUUGUUCUAAUAUUCACAUCUUUUACAUUUGAAUUCCUAACUGCCCUUUUAUUAACAUAAUUAGUUACAAAAAGCAAAAGUGAGCCACAUAGUAUUCAGCAAGAAAAAAAACAAAGGCAUUUCCAAACAGAAGAUUAAAUAUUACACAACAGUGAGUCACAUGCGUACUCGAAGGGGGGAAGGGGAAAGGCUAUUGUCUUCCGGCGGCGAAUUAGGGACGCAUGCGCACAGUCCAAAGCCAAUGCAUAGGAUGGUAUGUUUUGACCAUUCAAGUCCCUAGACACACAUGUUGUAAACUGAAAUAGAAAGGAACGAAGUUACCCGAAAUAUGUAGAAGCCUUGAAUGGUGAAUGAAUCUUGGGAUGGGUUGCGGACUAAGUCGUUCUCUUUAAGACGUUUCGCGGCUCUGCCCAAAGUGUGCAAGCAGUUCACAAAUAUCAUGUCGUCCCAUGAUAAAACAGCCUAGAACCUUCUUCUUCUGAUGAGGUUCUUCCUUGCACACCGGAAGAAACCUCGAACUCACACCCUUUUCAAUAUGUUGCUUUCAGAACUCAAUUUUUGUUUUGAAAAUUAUAAAAACUAUUGUUUUCUUUUUCCUGCACCUUCCUUCGUACAGGGGAUCAAUAUAUAUAUAGAUAUAUGAAAUAGACGUUGCAGUGCUAAAUAAUUUAGGGGCUUAAAAACUGCAAGGAAUUAAAGCAGAAGAAAUCAAAACGUACGAAUCAACAACGGAACAAAAUUAAGUACAUGGACUUGAUCUUUAUCUUCAGAUAAGGAAUCUCAUCUUUAAGAUGAGAAGCUUUCUCACGUUUCUUUUUAUGGAAAUAAAUCAAUUGUCAAAUCAUAAGUUAAAAAUAAAUUUAUAAGGUUAAUUACUAUUUACGUUUUAUAUUUAAUAUUUGUAAUAAAUCAAAAUAUAAAUAUAUUUAAAAUAUUCGGAAGCCUCGAGAGUUGAGAUGCAAUUGAUUAUGUGACCUAAGUGCAAGUCCACCUGUUGUAAAAGGGUAAGGUCAAGAGCUCGAGAAUUGCCCUUCAACCUCAAAAUGCAUUUCUAGCGCCCAAAUUGGAGAGGGCAAUUUGUGGACCAUGCAAAGCCCGCCCAAUUGCCCGAGCAAUUUAAGUCCGACCUUGCGCCAGCAGACGUUCUCCCAUUUUUGUGUUGGUAUGUGUAAAACACGCACAUCAUAAGCGAGUGGGCUGACAACUUCUUAUAUCUUUUGGUAAAAUCACAUGUACGUAAGCGUGCACAUUACAAAAAUAAUUACUCAAUUUGCUUUGGCUUUAAAAUCCUAAAAGGCUUCUAUCUUUUAGUAAAAAAAGGCCAAAUACCAAAUUCCAUGCCAAAUGUCUAAUUAGCCCAAGUUUCCACAUGGCAUGAAGAUUAGCAAUUGAGCUCUAGCAACAGAUAUAUGAAGUAGAAUUCUCUUCAUUCCUAUUUUUAUCCCUUUUUCUUCGAGUAUUUAUUAAUAAUAACCAAAAUUUAACACUCAAUUUUAUAAAUGUCACAUUUUAUGAAAACUUUCAAAUAUAACAAAAAAACUCAUGUGAAUAGACCUAAAUACCCAAAAAAAAAUCCAAAAACUCAUUCAUACAUAAAAGGAAAACACUUGAAAAGAUCUCCUCUAUAUCGUUGUUAAAAGUGCGAGACGGAGAGGGGAGUUGGUAAACGUCGUGGAACAGUUCCGAGUGUUCAACAACCAACUAAUUGAGUACAAACUUGAAAAUUUGACUCUCAUGUUUGAAACUCAAAUGCUACCGUUGAUACAAUAUCAUCCCAGUAGAAUAUGCUUUACAAUCAUCUUAGCACACAUGAUAUUAGUUGAGGUUUCUAACUCAUUGAAAUCAAAUGGCAAUCUAAUUGUGCUUACAAAUUUCUCUAAAAUUUGUUGGAUAACAGUUUAAAACAACAACAGUUUUCACAGGAGGAUCUUUCCAAUUUAAUUCUUGCUUCUCUUCGCCGCAAAUAUAAUUAAUCUAUAACCCCUAUUAGGAAGUUCUGAAUUAUACCAGACCUCACAAACCAAUCAAAACUAAUUGGGUGAGGGUUUUGCCACUUAAUUAUGUCUAUUUGGUUUUAAUUUUAAGGGUAUUUUUAUCUAUUUAAGUGGAUUUUCUGUUAUAUUUGAAUUUUUUUUAAUAAAAAGUGAUAUUUAUGAAAUUGGGUGUUAAAUUUUGGCUAUUAUUUAUAAAAUACUCAUUUUUCCGCUCCUGUCACAGUUUUCUUUUUGUCUUUCUCUCUCUAUUAAAAAAAUUAAUAGAAGAUGGUGGUGUGGCUUUGUUUGUACCAUACUUAGGGCCUCCGUAUUUAGAUCUCGUAUAAAUACUCCGGGGACUCAAAUGUAAUUAUGUAAUAAAUGAAGGGGCAAAUAUGUAAUAAGUGAAGAGCCCUUAUUCUAUAAAAGGGACUCCUCACCCUCACAAUUAGGAGGGGCUCUCAUAUUCAGAGCAAGCCCCCUCACCCUCUCAAAGCCUCACUCACAUUACAGAGGCUUUCUCCCUCACAAUCCUCUUAGAAAAAUACAAUAUCAGUGUGGACAUAGCCCAAACAUUGGGGUAAACCACGAUACAUCUUGUGUUAUUCACUUUCUUGCAGAUUCACGGUCGGAUUUACAUUGUUCCAAGACCUCCGGUUUUGUGCAUCAACAGGCUUAAUCAUAACUGUUUAAAUAGGAGGGGAGGGAAGGGGAGAGAGAUUAGGAGGGGAGAGAAUCUUCCUCCCAUUUUGUUGGCACUGAGAGACCGAAAAUUGCCCUUCAACCUCAAAUUGCAUUUCCAGCGGACCAUUUUAUAGUGGGCAAUUUACCCGAGCAAUUUUAGUCUACCCUUACGCUGUCUGGCGUUCUCUUGGUGUGUGUAAAAUAUGCACAUUCUGAGUGAGUAGGUCGACAACUUCUGAUAUCUUUGACAAAAUGACAUGUACGUAAUUGUGCACAUCACAAAAAAUACUUACUCAAUUUGCUUUUUCUUGAUAACCCUAAGAGCAGUUCCACCGGGGAACCUUUAGGCCGACACCCAACCAAUCCACUCCAGCCUAGCAGAUAGGCUAGCACCCAGCCCAAGCUGGUCUCUAGGCCAGCUCAAAAUGUGCUAAGCUCUUGCCCGACCUACAUGACACCAUGCGAUACCGCCACGCCUCCCUCGACCCGAAUUCAACUCCCUGGGUGUGGAGCACCUCCUUGGCAAGCUCCGGCGAGGAGACGACGACCAGGUUGAGUUGCCCCAUGCGGAGGAGGAAGCAGUCGUUGAAUUUCUUGGCGAGGUUGGUGGGGCGAUGAUCACGGCGACGAUGGCGAUGGCGACGACCGAUGGUGAGGCGAUGACUGCGGAGUUUUGAAAUGGCAAUGCCGACAAUCACGGCAACAAAGAGACCCAAAAGGGUCUUUUUUAGGAGGAGGAGGUCCAUUUUUGGGGGAGUGUUGGUGUGGUGAGUAGUUUGGUAGGCGUACAAAGCGAAAUGUAGAGAGAGUUCCGGUGGGAGAGUGAAAAGUGGGAAGAAGAAUAAGGGAUAAUGUUAGAAAUUAGAAAUUAAAUUAUUAUUUUAUAAUAAAAAUUAAUAAUAUUUUAAUAAAAUUGACUAGGCUAUUUAGUUUUAGGGGUGGAGAUGCAUUUGGCCUAUUACUGUUCAUUGGGGUCUAUCACUAUUCACUGAGUGAAUUAAAUGGGCUGGGUGCUGGCGCGUUUUUUAAGGGUGGAAUUGCUCUAAUAGGCUUCUUAAAUAACUCCAAAUACCAAAUACCAAGUACCAAAUUUCAUGCCAAAUGUCUGAUUAACCUAAGUUUCCACAUGGCAUGAAGAUUAGCAAUUGGACUUUGGGAACAGACACCUCGCUGGCAUUGAGAGACUUUUGAGAUGCCAAAAUCUAUUGCUUUGCACAUUGACGUGGAGAGAUUUUUCAGUGUGGUUAGUACACAGGGUGGUACACCAUGUGCCAUGCACUAUACAAAUUGUGAGAUAUAUGUGUUAAAAAGUUAAUAACUUAAAAAAUAUAAUUUUCCACCACUUAUAUAAAAACACGUGAUGUACCACCCGUAUUCCAGUCACAAUGAAAAUUUUCUCAUUGACGUGGGCAAUUUCAAGCGCAUUGAUAGGAACAUAUUUAUACGACUUAGUUAGCUUGUUUUCUAGCAUUUUCAUAGCUAGUUUCUACUUAUUAGAGUGUUUUAAGCUAUUUUCAUGUGUUUUCAGGUUCAAAUGACAACGUUGGCAAGAAAGUGCAAUUUGUAGCAUUUUAGAGCAGUUUUGGGCCAAUAAUGGAUAGCACAUGUAUGGAGCAAGGUGGAUGGAUGUUUUUGAAGUUCAAGAGGCUAGAAAUAUGUUGAAGAGAUGAAGAAAAUAAAGUCGAGACAAAGAAGAUAAGGAAUUAACUAAAAGGAAGGAACAUUAUCCAAAACCUUAUCUUAUCCAAACUAACCUUAUCUUAUCUUAUCCUAUCCUAAUCUUAUCAUACCUUAAUUCCAGCUGCAAGGUGGAAUCAAUUGCACAUUAAAUCACCUAAAUACCCCUUUCUAAAAGCCUUAUCCUUUGCCUAAAAGAGUGUUGCACCCUUUCAUCCUUAAGCUUCUAGAAAUCUGCCAAAUAUUCCAUUCUAGAAGCUUUGUGCCAAAUUUCCUAGUCCUAUUCCCUUAGGAUUGUGUAAUCCUUCUCCUCCACUACUUUGUGCCGAAACCCUAGCCUAUAAAUACAUAUUUUCUCACCAUAAUUCACACAACACACAAUAGAGAAAUCAGAGAGGAAAAUAUACAUGAGUGUCGCAAGUUUCUGAGUUCUUUCAGAGACUUGUGUCAAGCUUUGCAAGGGAGGAAGGAGGACUUGUGCCGUGCCUAGCAGCUAAGGAUUGUGCCAAAUCUGCCAUUGGAGUGCUUGAGUGUUUUUUGGUUCUUUCUAUCCUUAGUUUUAGUCCAAUGUUUAGUUUAAUUUGGUUUUCAAUUAUGUUGAACAUGUGGAACUAAUUUCGUUUUAGUUAGAGGAGAAUUCGAAGCCAUGAACAUGUAUGUGAUAUGAAUUGAGUACUUCCAGUUAUGAUUUCAUAAAUCGUGAAUGCAAGUUUGAUUGAUAACUUGUUCUUGUGUGUUGAUUAAGGAGGCCUACUUAGUUUGCAUGCAUGAAUUUGAUGCUAGAGUAUAAGGGAAUUUCACCUAAUCGUUAUGAACUUAUAUUCACAAGUAGUAAAAGUCACUAAUCAUGAUUGUGUUAAGUGAAUUAUUGGCAGGAGUAUCAUGCAGUUCAUAGUUAUGAAUGCCUUGUCAAUGCUUAUAAUUUUCAUAGAACUUAAUGAUCUUUGAUACGUAUCUCUAUUAUGCAGUUCAUGUAGGGAACUUGAUAAGAAUAAUUUGGUUGCGUCGCUGAGUCCAAUUCAAUGAAUUUAGGAAAAUCUGAAAGUUAAUUUGUGCUUCUCAUGAUUAAUUUGGGGCAUUGUCAUUAAUGGUUUAUUGGAAGAAUAACUAGAAAUCGAUUUGUAUGCAUGUGUGUCAUGUGUGGAGAAGGACCCUCUAACUAGCCAUUCACCCUUUAAAUCACCAAUUUCGUCCAAAGUAUUUAGAGUCUUUAAAUCUGUUUAGUUUUAGUCUUAAAUUCGUCAAAAACAAACCCCCCCCUUUCUAUUUCAUGUACUUAGGUUAGAAAUUGUCUAGAUUGGUUGUUUUACAUUGUUUUGAGUAUUUUGAGUUCAAUUUUCGUCCAAACUACAUUCUAGUUAUUGUUUUGAGUAAAUUCAACUUAGUUUUGUGUUAUUUGAGUCAGUCUAGCUUGUUUUGAGUUGCUUGAGUCUAGUUUCAGUUUUUAAGUUUAAUUUGUGUUGAUUAGCGUCCCUAGUUAAUCCCCGGCCUAGAACGAUCCCUACUUACGCGUACUACAACUAUCUUAAUAGGGUUUAAUUUGUGUGUUAGUUUCUACCACAUCAUGCAUUGCAGAUGCUAUUAAUACGUCAUUAUCAUAAAGACAAUAUAAUUUAUAUUCUCAAUUGAUGUUUAUGAAUGUAUAAAACUCAUUAAAUUUAAUGAAUGUUGAACGAUAAUAUAAACGUUAACUUACAACUUUUAUUCAAGUGAUUAUUUUUUUGUUGAACAAAUGACAUUAUUUACUGUAAAGCAAAGGGAGUGGUCUAAGCCUCACAAUGGACUACUAACAAUGUGGUUCAAAUUUGUCUUUAGCGAGAAUCGAACAUAAGACCUUUCACUUACAAGUGAAGAGGAAUAUCACUGAACUAGUACUAAGUGAUUAUAAAAGAUGGAGAAAUCACAAAGAAAACUUAUGUCUCGUAAUUUCCAUAAAAAUCAUAGAAUUAAAAGGAACAAGUUUUCUUCACGAAUACUCUAGUUUAUAUCUUCACUUGAACAAAAUAAACAAAUUAAGGUUUAAUUUUUAUUUAACAUUCAUUAAACCUAAUAAUUUGUCAAAGACAAACCAAUUCUAGAGGACCCUUAGGGGGUCCCCUAAGGCCAUCUCCAACUGAACUGUCCAGAGCACCAGAGGGCCAAAAAUAGCCCGAAAAUCGUCCCCAACCUAGGGCUAGGCCAGAGGACUCGUGGGCCCCAUGGAAUCUGAACGGGCCAGAGGGCUGGCCAUCUUCAGCCAGCCAACCAGCCCACUUUGAUUUUUUUUUUUUACUUUUCACUUGCCCAGCCCGAUUCCCUUUUUGUGUUUUUCUUAUUUCAACCCACUUUAGGGCCUUCAAUUUUUGGUGUCAGCCCAUUUUUUUGUUUUGUUCUUAACAGCCCACUUUUUUUUGGAAUUUUUUUUUUAAUUUCUAAUUUUUUCCUACACCAUUUCUCACAUAUUUUUUCACCAUUCCAUAUUGUCUUGCCUCAUUUUAUUUCAAUUCUUCACAUUUCAUACUAUAGGCCUUUGGCCAUCGGUUGGAGAUGGUUUUUUGUGACAGGGCUAAAAUGAGCCCUCUAGUCCUUUGGCCCUCGGUUGGAGAUGGAGGCAAAUAUGGCCCUACAUUGUUCAUUAAAAUAUUAAUAUCUUGGAGGGCCAAAGGGCUAAAACGAGUCAUCUGGCCAGCCUUCGGUUAGAGAUAACCUAACAAUCUCUUGAAAAAUUACUCUACUUAACCGAUCGUUGUUGUACAUGACAUACCAGCCAAUGUAUACAAUUGAUAGAGACAAACUUUUCUCCUUCUGUCAAUAGUGGGAAGAAUCAAAAUCUUCACAUGAGACAAACUUUUGUCCUUCAGUCAAUAGUGGGAAAAAUCAAAAUCUUCACACUCCACUUCUAUGUAAUUGAGCUUUCAUGUAUCUAUUUUGACCCAAUUUUACAUUAUCGGCCCGAGUAAUCGAAGCCGUUGAAUGAGCAUGAUUUUAGACCGUUGAACGACAAAGUGGUUGAAAUGAUUUUUCAUUAUUAUUGAGAAAUAAUAUUGUGAUUUUAAUCAUGAUAUUAUCUCUUAGUAAUAUAUUAAAUUAUUUGAACCUAAUAUUACUCUAAAUCUAAGAUAUGCACGGUAUCAGAUAAUGAAGCAUGCAGGACAAGACAAUAUUAUGACGUCACUUGGAAGCUAUUAAUGGGGUUGGAUUUUGAAUUAAUUAUUAUCCAUUUUAAAUUAUGGUGAUAAUUUGUAAAAAGCGAACAGGGAUCAGGAUGCAUGCAUGGAUGGGUGUAAAGGUGAUGGAAUUUAUGAUGAUGAGAUAAGAAGCCUAGGUAGGCUAGGCUAUGAUGGUGAGAUAAGAAGCCUAAGUAGGCUAGGCUAUGAUGAUGAGAUAAGAAGGCUUUUGGUUGGAUAGGCUUUCAUUUUGUCAGAAAAUCACGAGUAGCCAUCUAGAAGAUAGGCUUUAGCCUAUGCCACAGAUCAGUAUUUCAGUUCUGCGAGUUAAGAGUUGCAGUUGAACUCUACAAAAGUAUUCGGCCAUGCUAAGCAAAAGAUAUGAAUGCUAUAAAUACAAGGUGCGCUGCAUCAUUUAGGCUCUCUUCAAUUCAACACACAAACUACCCUGUGCAAACUCUCGCUCUACACGAAACCUCUCAACAACCUUGACAUUAUUAUUUUCUUUUUUCCGCCAACACAUCUUCAGUUUGUAUAAACAACAUUGUGGAGGCAACUGGCGAUGUCUUUAGUUUGGAUAAACAGCACUGAAGCCGUAGAAUCAGCCAAUCAAGGAGCACCUUCAGUUUGGAUAAACAACACUGCUUCUCGGCCAACUGAUUACCUAUCCAAGUCUCGGUCAACAAGAAUUUUCGAGUCCUUGUUGGCAAAGGUCAUUUCAUCAGCCUUCUUGGUGAAGUGAGGUGUUACCGGGUUACUACAUUCUGCACAUUGAAAGCCGAAUCUGAUAUUGAACUUCACAAAACUAGCAGCCUUGUCUUCAGGCUCUAGAACCUGAAAGCCGAGACGUGUUCCUUCCUCAGCCGCAGUUGUAAGAUCAAGAAGUCAGCAGCGCGCCCAAUGCCACAUCAACAUAAUUUACUCCCCGGCCGAACUCGGCCAACGAGUUGGUACGCCCCGCACAUAACCAAAGGAUGUAGUUAGCUUAUUAAUUACUUAGCCUGCGCGCCACGUAGGCUUGGUAGUUUUUAGGGUCAACAGUAUCACAAACAACGCCACCACCACCGCAACCAUAGCCCUUGGACUUUACUCCAUCCAUCUUCAUUUGUAAAUCCCAAUAAUCAUGGGUAGCAAAAAUCGUGAUUUCCACAUCUGUUUCUUCUCUCUCAUCGCUCACAGCCAUAUGAUACCGAUAUCCAACAUGGCCAAGCUCCUUAAAUCACAAGGAGUAAAAACCACCACAGUCACCACUCCUCUAAAUGCCCCUACAUUCUCCAAAGCCACCCAAUCAAGUAAAACCUGCUCCGACGGCGUUGAAGUCAAAAUCAAAACCAUCAAGUUCCCUUCUGUAGAAGUCGGUCUACCAGAAAGGUAUGAAUCUAGACUCAAUCCCCUCACCAGAAUUAAGCACCAAUUUUCUCAAAGCAACAAGCUUUCUCUAAAACCUGCUUGAGCAGCUUUUGCCCAAAGAAAACCCUAGUUACCUUGUGGUAGACGUGUUUUUUCCUCGGGCAACUGAUGUUGCAGCAAAGUUUAUUCGAAGGCUAAUUUUUCUUGGCACUAGUUUCUUUGCCAUGGCUACCUUAGAUAAUAUGAGAAGGUAUAAGCUGUUCAAGGACACUUUAUCCGAUUUGGACCCUUUCGUGAUUCUGGAUUUUCCUAGUGAGAUUACGAUGACAAGAGUGUUAGCGUUUAUAGCUUUUAGUAUUGAGUUUUAUGAAGUUUCGGAUUGUAUGGGAAGAGAGAAAAUUGCAGAGAAAAUGCAGCAAUGGUGCUGCGAGAGUGAUGAAGGUUCUGAUUACUAUUCCAUUCACCUCCAACCAAAUAUAACCGUUAGAGGAGAGAGAAAAGAGAUUCUUCUCUAACAACUUACAACAAGAUCAAAUCCUAGCCUUAGAUUUUAUCACCCUAUGAGAUGAUUACACAUGUUAUAAUCUAUCACUUAAAUCUUAGGCUAGAGAGGGAGGUCGCUUGGACUAUGAUCCAACGACUCUCAUUACAUCUUAUUUAAGCCUUAUAAAAAUAGGAUUCAAAACUCUAACUUUGGCUCCAAGAAAUCAGCUCAAAGAAGUUAAGCACCAACAUUCCCUUCUAACCCUUUAGCUGAUUUCACUCCAAGUAGUUGUCUUAGGCAAGCAAAUCGAUCAUUUGGCAAGGUCUUGGUGGGUAUGUCUUCAAUCUAGUCUUUUGUUUUGCAAUAAACCAGUUCAAUUUCCUUUGCUUGGAUGGCUUUUAUGAUGAAAUGGAAUUUUCUGCAAAUAUGCCUAGUUUUCUGGUGGAAAACUGGGUUCUUUGCCAUUGUUAUAGCAAAAGUGUUGUCACACAGAAUUGGUGUGCCUUCCACUUGUUCCUCACCAAAGUCUUCAAGCACAAAUAUUUGCUAUUUUGCCUGUGAUGUAGUGCUGUUGCACCCAUAUUCUGCUUCUUCUGUUAAUAAAACCACUUUGUUGUGUUUGAUUAAAGCCCAUGAAAACACAUACCCUGAGGUACUUCUCAUGUCAUCCUCACUUCCAGCCCAGUCAUUGUCACAGUACCCUAUCAAAAUGGUUGCCUUCCCUUUCACAAACUCAAUUCCAAAGUCAAGAGUACCUUGGAUGUAUCUUAAUACCUUCUUAGUUAUUCCCAUAUGUUUCUUUGUGGGAUCAUGCAUGAAUCUUGCAAGUAAGCUAGAAGCAAACAUUAUAUCUGGUUUUGUAGCAGUCAGGUAUAACAAACUACCUAUAAGCUUUCUAUAUUCACUUUCAAAUGCUGCCUCACUGCCAUCCACCUCGCAUAACUUUUCACUCACAGCAAGUGGUGUUCCCACAAACUUGCAAUCUUUCAUUCCAAACUUCUCAAUAAGCUUCAUUGCAUACUUUUUUUGGUGUAUAAAAAUGUUUUUCUCUGUUUGUAUAACCCCCAUGCCAAUAAAGUGAUGAAGCAGUCCCAAAUCAGUCAUCUCACAGUGCCUCAUCAUGUCACUUUUGAAUUCUUUGAGCAAUUUUGGACAACUUCCAGUGUAUAUAAUAUCAUCCACACAGAGUGAGACGAUAAUAAUAUAUGAGCCUUCACUAGUCUUGACAUAGAGUGUUGCUUCAGUUGAACUCUUCUUGAAACCUGCAUUGUUGAAGUAUGGGUCUAUCUCAUCAUACCAGGUUCUUGGAGCCUACUUCAACCCAUACAAUGCUUUAUUCUACUUAUACACCUUGGUUUCCUUAUUUUCCUUCACAAAUCCUUGUGGUUGCUCAACAUAAACCUCUUCAUUCAAAACUGCAUUCAGAAAGGCAAACUUUACAUCCAAUUGAUAUAGGUUCUAUUCUUUCUAUGCAGCAAGUGCUAUCAAGGUUCUAAUAGUGUCUAACCUUGCUACUGGGGCAAAUGUUUCAUUGUAGUCUAUCCCAGGCUUUUGGGAGUAGCCCUUUGCCACUAGUCUGGCCUUGUUCUUUUGCACAGAUCCAUCCAGAUUAAACUUAGUUUUAUAGACCCAUUUAACACCAAUGAUUGGCUUGUCAAAUGGUCUGUCGACUAGCUGCCAUGUCCUGUUUUCUUAAUCAUCUCCAGCUCAAAUUUCAUGGCAUUCUUCCAUGACUCAUCUAUAGCAGCAUCUUCAUAGCUUUCUAGCUUUACAAUGCACAUGUUGCAAUGUGCCAUGAUCUCAUUGAUAUUCUUCAAUUUCUGUGGUGUGUGGUCAAUUGCUUGAGAGCUUCCAAAAUCACUCUCACUCAAUAGAGUACCAACUUCAUUCACUUGAGAUGAUGUGUUCAAGGAUUAACUUGGCUCACAAGUCUCAAUCUACUUUUGACCAUCAUUGCAAUUUGCCAUUUGAUACUCAACAACCAUAGGAACUCUCAUUUCACCUUUCUCUAUGUGUUCCCACUCCCAUGAGACAUCUUCAUCAAAAGUAACAUCUCUAGACAAGAUAAUCUUUCUGGAAAUUGGAUCAAACAACCUAUACCGUUUCUCACAGGUUUUCUAGCCCACAAAAAUGCAUUUGUGACUAUGUUCUUCAAGCUUAUGCCUUAAUGUUGAAGGGAUAUGCAUAUAGCCCAAUGAUCCAAAGAUUUUUAGGUGUGCAACACCUGGCUUUCUGCCACUGUAUGCCUCAAAUGAAGUCAUCUUCUUUAAAGACAUGGAGGGACAUUUGUUAAGUAUGUAGACUGCAGUGUUCACAACCUCUGCCCAAAGUGCAAAAGGAAAACCUUUUUCAUGCAUCAUAGACUUUGCCAUCUCCACCAUAGUCCUAUUCUUUCUCUCAACCACUCCAUUAUGUUGGGGGGAGUAUGCCAUGGUUAACUGUCUCUAAAUUCCAAGCUCAUUGCAGUACUUGUCGAACUCAGUUGAUAGAAACUCUCCACCCCUAUCACUCUUGAGACAUUUCACUUUGUAUCCACACUGCAGCUCAGAAAUUGCUUUGAACUUUUUGAAACAUUCAAAUGCACUUGAUUUGUUCCUGAGGAAGUAUACCCAAGACAUUCAGGUACAAUCAUCAGUGAACAAAAUGAAGUACUUAUUGCCAUAGAUAAAUUCAGUUUGCAUUGGUCCACAGAUGUCUGUAUGAACCAAUUCCAAUGGAAAUUUAGCUCUCCAAGUGGAUUAUGAGGGAAAUGAAUCUCUAUAUUGCUUUCCUAGCAUGUAGCCUUCAUAUACAAUAUAAGUCUUCUCCAAUUUAGGCAGUCCAUGAACCAUUUCUUGGUUUUCAAGCAAUUUGAUGCUCCUAUCAUUUAGAUGUCCUGGUCUCUUAUGCUCUAUGUGUAAACAAUGUGUCACACUUGCCUUCAAUGCCAAUUGGUUUGUAGGCAUCAUUGUAAGAGGGAAGCAUCUGUUAUUUGUCAUCUGCACUCUAACCACCAAGUUGUCAAGUGACAACCAUUGAAGAAAUUCACCACAUUUCCACCAAACAACAGAUAAUAGCCAUGAUUCAUCAUUUGUCCAACAUUGAGAAUAUUCUCCUCAAGUCCAGGGACAAGUAUCACUUCUUGAAUGUGUUUUCUUCCUAGUUUAGUCUUUAUCACUAGAGUUCCAUUUCCUGCCACCUGAACAAUUUCUCCAGUCCCCAACUUCACUCUAGAAGUCAAAUUUAUCAUAAUAUUGACUAACAAUCUCUCAUCACCUGUCAUGUGGUUACUACAACCACUGUCAAUGUACCAUGAAUGAUUCACCUUCAUAUCAGUCACUGCAUUGCAUGCAUAGAACAAGGAACCAAUUUCUUCAACCUGGUUUACAUAUAUACUUUCUGUAUACCCUUAUUUCCAUUGCAGUCUCUAAGUAUAUGCCCAAACUUCCCAAAACCUGUGCAUUUAGGCUUUCCUUCAAACCAGCACUUGCCAUUAUGCGAUUUAUCACAAUGUUUACAAGCAGUUUUGUUUCCAUCAUGAGAGACAUUUGGUUUGGGAGUAAAAUUGGGCUUAUUAUCCCAUUUCUUCCCUUUGGAUUUCCAGUUUUUCUGAAACUUUUGAUUUCCAGAAAACCUCCUCCUUUGAGAUUAUUGGCUCCAACAUUUAGACUUGUAAAAGCCAUAUCUGUAGAAUUUUAAGCAUGUCUAUCUAGUCUGAGUUCAAAACUUUUCAGAGAAGCUACAACCUCCUGAACCUCAAGAGUCUCAAGGUCCUUGGAGUGCUCAAUUAUAGAGCAAAUAGGGUUAUAUGAUCUUGGCAGACUAAUCAAUAAUUUUUGCACUAUUUUUUCCCUAGAUAGAUCCUCACCAUAAUUCUUCAUUUGAUUCAUUAUAUUAAACAGUCUAGUAAGAUAUGCAGAUAAGGAUUCACUAUCUUUCAUACGAUUAUAUUCAAAUUCUCGACAUAAACCUUCUAGUUUUACGCUCCUUACUUGCUUGUCCCCUCUGAACUCUUGCUUCAGAAUAUCCCAAGCACCAUUUGAGGCCUCCUCGUUCACGAUUCUGGGGAAAAUUUGAUCUAAAAUAGCUCCUUGGAUCAACCCAAGUGCGUGAGCAUCCUUCAUCAGGAUUUCAGUCAUCAGGAGCUUUUCUACUCCAGUGAUCUCAGCCUUUUUAUCUUCAUCUUCGAUCUCCUCAUUCUCUUUCUUCAGAUCUGAAGUAUCGAAAUCGUUUUCAACAAAAUCCCACAAUCCAUGAGAUUUCAAAAUAGUUUUCAUUCGAAUACUCUAGAACUCAUAGUUUUCUCCGUUGAAAAUUGGAGUACAAAGCUCACCUGUACUCGAUCUUGCCAUAUUAGACAUUGGAUUCAAGAAAUCGCACAAUCUCGAUCAUCAAAUGAGCUCAAACACAACUCGAAUCAAUUCUAGUUUCUGAAGCCAUGUUAGCAUUCAUAGCUUUUAGUAUUGAGUUUUAUGAAGUUUUGGAUUGUUUGGGAAGAGAGAAUUGCAGAGAAUAUGCAGCAAUGGUGCUACGAGAGUGAUGAAGGUUUUGAUUACCAUUCCAUUCACCUCCAACCAAAUAUAACCGUUAGAGGAGAGAGAUGAGAGAUUCUUCUCUAACAACUUACAACAAGAACAAAUCCUAGCCUUUGAUUCCAUCACCCUAUGAGAUGAUUACACAUUUUAUAAUCUAUCACUUAAAUCUUAGGCUAGAGGGACAACCUACUUGGACUAUGAUCCAACGACUCUCAUUACAUCCGAAUUAAGCCUUAUAAAAAUUGAAUUCAAAACUCUAACUUUGGCUUCAGGAAAUCAGCUCAAAGAGGUUAAGCACCAACAAAGAGCACAAGUGCCUGAUCAUGUCAAAGAAAAUAUCGAAAACGACUUGACCCAGAUGCUCAAACGGGCCAAGGAAGCUGAGAAAAUGAGCUACGGAAUUGUUGUGAACAGUUUCUAUGAGCUCAAAUCGGUUUAUGCAAAUUAUUACAGAAACGUGCUUGGGAUGAAAGCUUGGCAUAUUGGCCCUGUUUCUAUGUGCAACAGAAACAAUGAAGAAAAAGCAGUUAGAGGAAAAGCAGCUUCUAUCAAGGAGCACGAGUUCUUAAAGUGGCUUGAUUGAAAAGAACCUAAUUCGGUUGUUUAUGUGUGUUUUGGAAGCGUGGCUAAAUUCAAUGCCUCUUAGCUUAAGGAGAUUGCAAUGGGGCUUUCACCUAGGCCGAUUUUUAGAACAUUGAUAAAUAUUAAACUGAAAAAAAUAUGCACAUAUGGUGGGCCACCCACUAAUCCAGGUGGAAUUCUAGCCUAAAUUUGCCAUAAAGUUGGGUUAAAACUCAUAUUUGGCCAAAGGGUUAGAGAAAGUUGGGGUAAGGAUCCAAUUUUCUUUAACUCCCCUUUAUUAACUUGUGAGUAUCACACAAAGCUAGAUAUAAUGAAAUAUAUAUUUGAUUACAUAGAAAAAUCUUCAUAUAAUUUACAAGUAGUUCGAUAUAAAAUCCUAAACAUGGCAUUGGUUGGAUUUCACAAGAGAGAACUUUAGAUUAUAAAUUUUUGUCUCUUUCUUUGUAAGGGUGUUUCUAAGAUGCGGACUUUGCGUCCCAAACUUGUGCAUGGACCGGAAUCUAACUGUUGUGAUUUGUUGAGCUCAUGGUAAAACCGGGGUGUUGGUAUUUUUGUUUUGCAAUUGCAUUUAGGAUGUGGUACUAGAUUGCCUACGUGUCCUUGGUGGAAUCAAACCAAUGUAGUUCGUGGUUUUCAUUGAUCAGUCAAUGACCCAUUGAAAAAGAAAAUUUUGUUUGCUUGGAUUUGGUGUCAUGUGCAGUUUCAACUCGUGCAUGCAAGGAGUGUUUAAUGUCUUGUGUAGUUUCAGCUCGUGCACGUAAGGGCUUUGGGCCAUUUGGAGUGUUUAAUGCCUUGUAUAGUUUCAGCUCGUGCACGUAAGGGCUUUGGGCCAUUUAGAGCGUUUAAUGCCUUGUGUAGUUUCAGUUUAUGCAGGUAAGGACUUUGUGCCAUUUGGAGUGUUUGAUGCCUUGUGCAGUUUCAACUCAUGCGAUUUUGUGCCAUAAGGUGGGGCAAUAUCCCAUGUGAGCAGCAUUCCUCAUAAAAUUGGGAACUUUGUUUGCAGACUUCUUUCUUCUUCUUGUAGAAUUUACAAACUCUUUGGCAAGAGGCACAAAUUUAUAAAAGAAACCACAUGAUUUCACAUUGGAGAGCUAUCGUUUUCUUUUUCUUUUUCUUUUUUUUUAAAAAAAAUAAAUAAAUAAAGGUUGCCACGUGAGUGUCUUUCCCAAUUAAUUUGGGAAGUUGUUAGAAAGCUUUUUUUUCUUCUCUGUGAACAUGAACUCUUUCAAGUCCAAAUAAGCCCCUCCUAAAGCUCUAAAGUUAUUUGGAUUCUCCUUUUUUCUUUUUUUCUUUUUAGAGACCGCGCUUGCGGUAUACUUUGGACUUCUGAGAGCCUAAUCACUCUGCAGACGGGACCUGGGUUGUGGGGGGACCACGUGAAUAAGAGGACCUUCAUCCUUGUUCUUUGUUGCAGGUCGUCUCUUAGCAUUUAUAAUCCUUGAAUUAGAUAACAACUUUGAAGGCAGUAGCCUACACCAAACAAUUUAAUUGAACUGAACGUCCUUUCUUUUGCACAUUUUGUGAUUAAAGAAGAACAUGCAGCCGUCGACGUUUGGAAUUGAAUGAGAUGCAGUGGGGACUCUCUCCUUGUUGCUACAGUAGGGACUGGUGAUGACAUCGUCAUUUGGCGGUUGCUUCCUUGUUCUACACGAGAUGCAGUCUUCAAAACCAUCGUUGUCUACAGAAUUUUUUCGUAGUGUUUAGCGUACAAAUGUCGUGGUGUAGAGAUGUCAUUUUCACGUAUAGACUUGUUGUACCGGAAAUUCCUUGACUAGUAGAUUUCGACCUUUUGCGCCGAGAAAAUGCUUGACGAGUAGAUCCGAGCCACUGAUUUUGAACAUCUUGGAGGAGUUCACUUUCUAGCACGUCCGUGUCUGCGUGCAGACAUGCUAUGGCAAGAAGACCUCGACCAUCCUUCUAUUCAUACUGGUUACGUUCUUCUGAAAAAAAAGGCAAGAAUUGCUAUGCUCAUCUUUUGGCAAGAUCCAUUUUUGUUCUUGCAUGCCAAACUGCUACAAUCAUCGGAAAGCUGACCUUGUUGGUCUAAUUUCGAAGAGCACUUUGAUAGCGGAGAAGGAUUUGUUAAUGUAGGAGAAUCCAAUUAGGAUUCUCAUGGGCUAGGUUUUGUAAAUCCAUGUGGACUUUAGAUUACUUGUACUCCUAAUCAAUUGACUUGUAUAUAUUUGUAUCUUUCUGAGAUCAAUUAAAUCAAUACAAUAUAAAUCUACAUGGUAUCACUUGUUCUCCCUUUCCUUGCAAAACCCUUGCCUCUUUUUCCUCCAAAUUAACUUCUAGUCGUCCCCCCCCCUCUCUUCUUACCGUGCCCUAGCUUCUCCCAUUGCGACUAGGCUUCGUCAUCCUCCACCCAUGUUGGGCCCUCUCUUUGGUCCCAACAUUGCCCACUUUCUCAAAGUCACUAAUUCCAACUCCUACUUCGGCUUAGUCAGAUGAAGCCAUUUCCUCUGCAUCAUAAUUUAUUUGGCCCAUGUGGAUGGCUCUAUUCCGGUCCCUAACACCACUCUUCAUGCUACUGACAAAGCGCCCAUUGCACCAAAUCCUGCUUUUGCUACGUGGUUCCAGACUGAUUAACUAGUUGUCAGUUAUCUGACUUCUACACUUGGACUUGGAUUGUCUGCUCUCCCAUUUCGGUGCCCUCCCCGUGUCCUCCUGUUUUGUGUGGUCACGGUUAAGCCACGUCAAUAUUUUAUAUUAUUUUUUUAUAAGAAUAAUAAAACAAAAAGAAAUAAUAAUAUAAAAUGUUGACGUGGCUUAACCGUGACCACAAAAACAGGAGGGCACGGAGAGGGCAUCAAAAUUGGAGGGCAGACAAUCCAAGUCCUCUACACUUUCCAAGCCUAUUUUUUUCCUGCAAUUGGGAAAAUCCUCCUCUAAAGCUAUUUGGGAAUGUCUUGCGCACUUUUCUCAGCAAUCUCUCACCAAUGCCACGAAUCUUCGAUUUCAACUUUUGGCACUUAUGAAAGGCUCCCGUACCAUCUCGGACUACCUUAAAUAGGCUAAGUUUUAAUUUGACUCUCCUGCUGCUAUUAAUCAACCUGUCUUUAAUACUGAUUUGGUGAGCUCUAUCCUUAAAGGUCUUGGUCCUGAUUAUUCUAUGUUUCUCAUAGCUGUAAUUAAUUCUCCACCCUUCCUGGAGUUCCAUGACCUACGUUCUCGGCUCUUAACUUUUGAGAACCAGCCUCGGCCUACUCCCGCUGCCAAUUUUAUGUAGCAGCCCGUGGGUCAAACUUCUCUGCACAGCCAGUGGGCCACCCUCAUCUACACUAACUCGUUAAUCAAAACCUGCAGCAUCCUAUACAUCCUCUCCUACCAGAGCAGGCCCAUUACCAGCAACCCAACCCUCCCCAAGUUGCUGCCUUCUAAGUGCAAGCCCAUGAUGCCGUGCAGCAACAAGGCCUGCCACGUGCCAGAAAUUGAGGUCGUGGUGAGUUUCACCACCGCCCACAUGGGGUCGUGAUGGCCAUCGUGGCGGUGGAUGCGGUGGUCGUGGUGGAUGGUAGCCCAAUAAUUAUGGGUUUAAUCCUCCUAAUCAGCAAGGUAUCCUCAGUGCUCCUCCUGAUUUUUGGUGUAGUUAUUGUAACUCACAUGGCCACCAUGUCUCUACUUGUCUGCAUCGCCCCGCUCCCCUCAUUGUUGGUUAUCAUGUUUUUCCACCUAGUGCGGCUAAUGAUCCUACUUGGUACCUUAAUAUGAGAGCCACUCACCACAUGACCAACAAUGGGGCCGCUCUUCAUGACUCAUCUCCUUAUAAUGGUAACGAAACUGUCCUAGUUGGUAACGAGACUUUUCUUCCUAUAACUCAUAUUGGAUCUUCUUUUCUCACAUUAGGUUCUCAUCCACUCAAAUUAAAUAAUGUCUUAUAUGUUCCUUUCAUUAAGAAAAUCUUAUCUCUGCCUCUCAGUUUACUAAAGAUAAUUCUGUUGUCAUUACUAUUCAUCCGUUUAGUCAAGUAAUUCUCAAUUUAUAUUGUGGUUCUUUGUUGUUUUAGGGCCGCUGUGAAGGUCAUCUUUAUCCCGUCAGCCCAUCAUGUCCGUUAGCAUUUCAUGUCAUUUCCUCCUCCUUGUGGCACUCCCGUUUUGGUCAUUCGUCUUCCGAAGUUUUGUCUAAGAUGUCUUUAGGUUCUAUGUCGCAAAUAAAUAAGGCCUUCUGUAAGCCAUGUGCACUUUUUAAGUCGCACAAGUUACCUUUUAAUUCCACACUCUUGAACAAAAUGGCUUGGCCAAAAGCAAGCACCAACAUAUAUCCACCGUCACCCGUCUUCUCCUAAAUACUGCCCAUGCCGCCCCCUCCCAUUGGGUUGAAGUCUCCCUCACCGUUUUCUUUAUUAUUAAUCUUCUUCCUUCUUUGGUUUUGGGUUGGUCUAGUCCCUAUUUACGCUAAUUUGAUCGUCAUCCCAAUUUAUCCCACCUUUGUACGUUUCAUUGUGUUUGUUACUCGCAUUUUGGAGCUUAUAUCACUAACAAAUUAGAACCUCGUUCCAAAGAAUUGUUUUUUGUAGGUUACAGCCUCAACAUAAAAGUUAUCGCUGUCUAGACCUAACCAUUAAUCAGAUUUUUAUCUUUCAUGUCAUGUUUGAUGAGAAUAAUUUUUCGCUUGCCCAACCUGCUACCCCUGCAGCUCUGCCUCCUUUUCUGCUUCUCUUGGAACCUGCGCAUGCACCUCUCCAUGGAUCCCAGCCCAGCGCACCUCCCCCUAGAGCCCAACCCAUCAUGCCUUCUCAUGAAACUCCACCUAUGAAUCCAAUCUUGCAGCCCGGCCCACUUCUUCUCGCACCCAGCCCAGUGGUUCCCGCUCCCAGUGCGCCUGCUUCUGUCCCUCCGACCAGCGCGGCGAGCCAUGUGGCGUCAGUCUACAUGCCAUCAAGCCCAACAUCUCUGCAGCCUUCCAGCUAACUUUUGUUGAGUCCUCAGCUGGCCACUAUACCAGCGCCCUUCUUGUCUGCCCAUGGAGACUAGAUCACACACUGCCCGCUCUCAACCCAAACAGUGUUCCAACGACACUGUUUGUUACCCACUGCCCCAUUCACUCACGGAGUCCAUCUCUAAUUCCGUUGAACCCACUUGUUUCACUCAGGCCUCACGUCCCCUUGAGUGGCGUACAGCCAUGACCGUGGAAUUUAAUGCUUUACUUAAAAAUGGUGGGUGGUUUCUUAUUCCCUCUCAUCCCUCUCAGAAUUUAGUUGGUUGCAAAUGAGUCUUUUGGAUUAAGUAUAAUGCAGAUGAUUUCAUUGAGCUGUGUAAAACUUGUCUAGCUGCCAGCAAUAUGAGUUUUAUUAUGACAAGACAUUUAGUCUAGUUGUUAAGCCUGCCACUAUUCCUCUUGUGCAUUUACUCAUGAGUGGUCUAUUCAACAACUAGAUGUCAGAAAUGUUUUCUUGCAUGGUUGUUUAUAUAAAAAUGUUUAUAUGGUUCAACCGCCUGGUUUUGUGGACCCUCAACAACCCUAUCAUGUCUGUAAAUUGCACAAGGCUCUUUAUGGUCUCAGGCAGGCUCCCCGAGCUUAGUUUCAGCACUUUAGUAUAUUUAUCCUCCGCCAGGGCUUCAUUCAGAGUCUUGCUAACCCAUCUCUCUUCACUUUUCACCAUGGUAUGACACAUCUCAUUUUACUACUUUAUGUCGAUGAUAUUGCGUUAACUAGCAAUGAUUCAAUGGAUCUUUUGGGCAAUGAAUUUGAGAUUAAAGAUCUUGGGCCUAUUCAUUAUUUUCUUGGUUUUGAGGUUCGUCCUACUUCUGUUGUCUCCAUGUAUCUCAAACCAAGUAUGCUCUCGAUUUGUUCGUGAACGGGUCAAGUUGGGUACUCACAAAGUCCAGUUUAUUCCUUCCAUUGACCAACCUGCGAAUGUUCCCACUAAAGGACUCUCUACGCCUCGUUUUGAUUAUCUACGUUCCAAACUUGCCACUCCGAGACCGCCAAGUUUGAGUGGGUUGUUAGUGUAGGAGAAUCCAUUAGGAUUCUCAUGGGCUAGGUUUUGUAACCAUGGACUUUAGAUACUUGUACUCAAGUCAAUUGCCUUAGUAUAUAUUUGUAUCUUUGUGAGAUCACGGGAAGGUUGCUUCUAGAGUGAAGAGCGAUUGGCACCAUUUUGAUUUGUUAUAAAGAGAGAUCCUUCACUGGAGCAAAUCUUUGUAAGAGCACGUGGGAAACUAACUUUGCUUCGAUGGUCUUGUGCCAUGAGUGGAGAUUUGUGUAAGGAAACAAAUAAUAAAGAAAAAUAAAACUUUUACUUUUGAUUCUUCUUCCUCGUGAACGUUCUACAUAAUUGCAGUCCUUUGCUCCUUUCUUCUCUUUCUGUUAGGACUCUCUCUUUCUAUUUCUACAGUUUGCAUUCGUCUCUCCUCUGCUGCUCUCUCUACUCUCUCUCAGCUUUUCGUUGUCAGUCUCCCCCUUUCAUUUCAACCUGGCUUCGUCUUUUUAUAGACGCAAGGAGCAGUUCAUAGAUCAUUUUCCAUUUUUGUUACAUGUACCACUUUCUUGGGAUGUGGAGAGGUUGAGAGAAGGCUAUCAUUUAUGACGCGUUUACGUAACCGUAAUGAAAAUAGGAGGAAUUUAAUUGAGGAGGAGUUGGAAUGAGGAGAACUCAGAAUCAGAUUCAUGUUGAAGCUGUUUACUUAAAUGUUCUAGAAUUGGAAUAGAAAUGACACUAAUUUCAUAAAACUGUUUACUAAUUUAGCACAAUCGGAAUAUAAACCAAUAUGAUUACUAAAAUGCCCUUGUCCCAAAUCAAGUAUUUUAUAUACUUUUUUUUAAUAAAAUUUGGUAUAAUUUUUAAUAGUAAGAAAAAAGAUUAAGUUGCUUUUUUUAUUUCAUAGACACACUAAAAUACUUUUGUUUAAUUUUUUAUUUAUAAAUUUAAGUAUUUACUUUAAUAUUUAAAUUUUCUCACUCAAGUUGUAGUUUCUUCUCUUCAGCAUAUGCAUGGAGUUGUGCAUAAUGUGAAUGAGCAUGGAGUUGUGCAUAAUAUGAAUGAGCAUGGAAAUAAAAAAAAGUAAGGAGUUGUGCAUAAUUAAACUAGGGUUAGUGGGUUUAUAAAGGAUAGUCUUGGAAAUAAAAAAAAAGUAAGUGACAUAAAGGGAACAAAAGUGUCAUUCCGAUUGCCCAAGCAAUCAGGAAUUGAAUUGCCACCUACAUCUAAGGAAUCCAAUUCCACCAAUACAAGGAAUUGAAUUCCAAAGUUUGUGCUCCCCAUUGCUUUUUUGAUUCCUCAAUGUUUAGUAAACACCGGAGUACUCCGUAAUCGGAAUUUAAUUAUACAUUUUCAUUCCGAUUACGGAUACGUAAACAUGCCCUUAAUUGAGAACGUGGGAGGGCAAGGAUAAGAGCUCAUAAAUUGCCCUUCGACCUCAAAUUGCAUUUCCAGUGGGCCAUAUUGAAGAGGGCAAUUUGUGGGCCAUCAAAGCCCGCCCAAAUGCCUGAGCAAUUUAAGUCCCACCUUGGGCCAGCAAGUGUUCUCUCUUUUUUUUUUAUACGUAUAAAACAUGUGCAUCCUGAACCAGUGGGUCGACAACUUCUUAUAUCUUUUUGGCAAAAUGACAUGUAUGUAAUUGUGCACAUCACAAAAAUACUUACUCAAUUUGCUUUUGCUUGAAAACCCUAAUAGGCUUCGUUCUUUUAAGAAAAAAACGCCAAAUACCAAAUACCAAAUGUCUAAUUUACCUAAGUUUCGUUCUCAAAAAAAAUAAAAAAUAAAAAUUACCUAAGUUUCCACAUGGCAUGAAGAUUAGCAAUUGGACUCUGGCAACAGACACCUCACUGGCACUGAGAGACUUUUGAGAUGCCAAAAUCUAUUGCUUUUGACAUUGACGUGGGUAAUUUCAAGCUAUAUAUAUAUUUUAUUUUUUUUGGUUUUUUCAGCCAAAAGAAUCAUAUAUUAAAAAGAAAACAUUUGGAUCGAUACAACCAUUCCCAACAAAAUCAAAACGAAAAGCAUGUGAAGCAAAAUCAAGAAUAUGAUGCUCUCACAUAUGACAACCAGUUAUUAGAAGACAGCAAAGGCAUCAACAACAAAAUUUGCCUCUUUAAAAAUAGGGUUCCAAUAUAAUUUAUAUUCUCAAUUGAUGUUUAGCAAUGUAUAAGACUCAUUAAGUUUAAUGAAUGUUGAACGAAAAUAUGAAUGUUAACUUGCAAAUUUUAUUCAAGUGACUAUAAAAGAUGGAGAAAUUAUGAAGAAAACUUAUGUCUCGUAAUCUCCAUAAAAAAAUGGUAGAAUUAAAAGGAACAAGUUUUCUUCAUGAAUUCUCUAUCUUGUAACUUCACUUGAACAAAAUAUACAAAUAAACAUUUUUAUUUUAUUCUAUGCUCAUUAACCUAAUAAAUUGUCAAAGACAAACCAUUUUUAUUUUUUAACAAACAAUAUUAUCUACAUAAAAAAGGUGGGAGAGUGGGCAAGCCUCCCAAUGGGCUAAGCUUCCUAAUGAGCUAGUAAAAAUGGGUUCAAAUUCGUUUUUGGUGAAAAUUGAACCUAAGACCUCUCAUCUACAAAUGAAGAAAAAUGCCUCUAGACCGUAGCGGAAAAAAUUACUCUACUUAACCGGUCGUUGUUGUACAUGACAUACCGGCUGAUGUCUACAAUUGAGAGAGACAAACUUUUGUCCUUCUGUCAAUAGUGUGAAGAAUCAGAAUCUUCACAUACUCCCCUUCUAUACAUUUGAGUUUUCACGCAUCACAAACAACGCCACCGCCACCGCAGCCCUAUUGAAAUCCCAAUAAUCAUGGGUAGCAAAAACCGUGAUUUCCACAUCUGUUUCUUCCCUUACAUGGCUCACGGCCACAUGAUACCGAUCUCCGACAUGGCCAAGCUCUUUGCAUCCCAAGGAGUAAAAACCACCAUAGUCACCACUCCUCUAAAUGCCCCAACAUUCUCCAAAGCCACCCAAUCAAGUAAAACCUACUCCGGCGGCGUCGAAGUCAAAAUCAAAACCAUCAAGUUCCCUUCUGUAGAAGCCGGUCUGCCAGAAGGGUGUGAGAAUCUCGACUCACUCCCCUCACCAGAAUUAAGCACCAAUUUUCUCAAAGCUACAAGCUUUCUCCAAGA
rnacentral:lncRNA from 1 species